rnacentral:lncRNA from 1 species
GUAGGUCUACUCUAAAUUAUUCUCUUGCUUCGUUUUCAGACAUUGAUGAGCCAUGUUCCAAACAAGCAGAAUGACAAUCCAGCUGCUACUACUGUUGAGUGUGUUGAUAGACAUUUAAAGCAAGUAGUAGUGAGAAAUUAUUCAGGCAAGAAACCUGAUUAUAACUUUGCCAAGUUUUUUGUUUUGAACGCAAGAGCGCUAGAGUCCAUGAAGCUCCAUGUCCCGUUUAGCUGGAACAACGAAUGGCGCUCUAGACAACAUAGCAAGAAGGAUUUUAAGAACAGAGCUUCUCCAAAUGCUUUGGUUUAUUUUGAGGGCACAGAGUGAGCACAUGAACAACCGUGCAGAUGAGGUGUCAAAUUGUGUACCCCUUUGGCACCUAAGUUAUCGGGGUUUUUGUUCUCACAGGGAACUAUUGCCUUUGUUGUCGUUCCAUGUACUAGUUUCGAAAACUAGAAAGGUUACUUUUAUUUGUAAUAACUUUAAGUUUACUCGUCAAAUUUCCGUCAUAUGAUUUUCUGUUCCAGAACAAGUGUUCCUAGUUUUCUAAAUAUAUUUGGAUCUACAUACUUGAAAGUUAAUGAAUUUCUGACAAAUUUAGUAUGCAAUGUCUUUCUUUUUUUGGCGGGAAAGUAUGCGAUGUCAACUGAUGGUUGGUAUAUUUUUUGCUGGACCAUAACUCAUGGUAGAUAUAUGAUGAUGUAACUGCUGGUCCUCAUAUAUUAUGUUGCCCUAAAGCAAACAUAUUUGGUGUUAUGAUUCUGAAAUGUAGGUAGCCUGCAAGUUNNNNNNNNNNNNNNNNNNNNNNNNNNNNNNNNNNNNNNNNNNNNNNNNNNNNNNNNNNNNNNNNNNNNNNNNNNNNNNNNNNNNNNNNNNNNNNNNNNNNNNNNNNNNNNNNNNNNNNNNNNNNNNNNNNNNNNNNNNNNNNNNNNNNNNNNNNNNNNNNNNNNNNNNNNNNNNNNNNNNNNNNNNNNNNNNNNNNNNNNNNNNNNNNNNNNNNNNNNNNNNNNNNNNNNNNNNNNNNNNNNNNNNNNNNNNNNNNNNNNNNNNNNNNNNNNNNNNNNNNNNNNNNNNNUAUAUAUGUUGUUUACUACUGGUUUAAAUAAUGUGUAGUGGAAGAAUAUUUUCUGGUGAAACAUGUCCUGUGUUCUCACUUUAUACAUAUCACAUAAACAUACGAUCAAGGCGGCUCGUUCAGCUCCCAAGGUCGGUAUUCUUUUGUUCAACCAUAACUCAGGGUAGAUAUAUGAUCAUGUCACUGCUGGUCCUUAGAGCAACUCUAACACAUCUCCUAAAAUUUAGAGGAGUAAAAUGCUGAGUAUACUUUAGAGGAGCAUGCAUGUUCUCCUCUAAAAGGUGACCGUUUCUAACUGGUCAACAAUACUUAGAGGAGCAUGCAUUUGCUCCUCUAAAAAGUGACCGUUUCCAAAAAGUGCUCGUUUAGCUCCCAAGGUCGGUAUGUUAUCCAUGUGAGUCUUUCCGGGCCCCGCUCAGACCACUCACGGUUCGAAUAUGCACCCUUAGGGACCCCCCAAGCAUGUGGAAUGGAAGCACAUAUAGGCAAUGUGGCCAUCAAAGAAGUGAGAAAACAACAAUGGAAAGAGAAAGCCCGAGCAUCUCAAUAUUACAUUUGAAUCCAAUAAAAUUACCACUUCAUAACCCUAAGGGGAAAAGCUAUGAUAACAGAAGUGCCGCAAAAGGAGAACAAGUCAUGUCUUUUUUCUACAGAGGUUCCCAGCCCCAGGUGGAAGGACAACAAGCUCACUCCGAGGAAGCGUUUUCAUCUUCGUUGUGGUUCCCCACAUCGACUCCUGCUGUUGCAUGCUGGUCCCAGCACCCGCCUUGCCUGUGCUGGCAGCCUUAUGAUGACUGAAGCGGUCAACGCCCACCCGAAUGUGCCAUGAGUAAAAGGAUGGAAUCAACACAAUGCCGUGUGAGUAGGGAUGUCUACUAGCUACUCAUAGCACGAACAUGUUACUUUACAUCCCUCUUUGAAAGAUGGAUGGAGCCUAUGCAGUGGUGUAGCAAGCGGAGGAUCUUAGCGGGGCCAAAGAGAAAUGCAUCAUUGGGGCGGGGGCAGGGGGGGAUGAGUGCACUCUACUUAAUAAUAUAAGCCUUUUCAAAAAAUUCCACUAGUCUCCCCCCCAAGUACAUGUAGCUCCGCCGUUGAGCCUAUGGUGUCUCGAACGCAUGGCACGUUACCACAUAGGGUUUUCUAGAUGCUAUGAUAGAAGUUGAGUGUAGGCACAUCCAUGUGUCUAUAUGUACACCNNNNNNNNNNNNNNNNNNNNNNNNNNNNNNNNNNNNNNNNNNNNNNNNNNNNNNNNNNNNNNNNNNNNNNNNNNNNNNNNNNNNNNNNNNNNNNNNNNNNNNNNNNNNNNNNNNNNNNNNNNNNNNNNNNNNNNNNNNNNNNNNNNNNNNNNNNNNNNNNNNNNNNNNNNNNNNNNNNNNNNNNNNNNNNNNNNNNNNNNNNNNNNNNNNNNNNNNNNNNNNNNNNNNNNNNNNNNNNNNNNNNNNNNNNNNNNNNNNNNNNNNNNNNNNNNNNNNNNNNNNNNNNNNNNNNNNNNNNNNNNNNNNNNNNNNNNNNNNNNNNNNNNNNNNNNNNNNNNNNNNNNNNNNNNNNNNNNNNNNNNNNNNNNNNNNNNNNNNNNNNNNNNNNNNNNNNNNNNNNNNNNNNNNNNNNNNNNNNNNNNNNNNNNNNNNNNNNNNNNNNNNNNNNNNNNNNNNNNNNNNNNNNNNNNNNNNNNNNNNNNNNNNNNNNNNNNNNNNNNNNNNNNNNNNNNNNNNNNNNNNNNNNNNNNNNNNNNNNNNNNNNNNNNNNNNNNNNNNNNNNNNNNNNNNNNNNNNNNNNNNNNNNNNNNNNNNNNNNNNNNNNNNNNNNNNNNNNNNNNNNNNNNNNNNNNNNNNNNNNNNNNNNNNNNNNNNNNNNNNNNNNNNNNNNNNNNNNNNNNNNNNNNNNNNNNNNNNNNNNNNNNNNNNNNNNNNNNNNNNNNNNNNNNNNNNNNNNNNNNNNNNNNNNNNNNNNNNNNNNNNNNNNNNNNNNNNNNNNNNNNNNNNNNNNNNNNNNNNNNNNNNNNNNNNNNNNNNNNNNNNNNNNNNNNNNNNNNNNNNNNNNNNNNNNNNNNNNNNNNNNNNNNNNNNNNNNNNNNNNNNNNNNNNNNNNNNNNNNNNNNNNNNNNNNNNNNNNNNNNNNNNNNNNNNNNNNNNNNNNNNNNNNNNNNNNNNNNNNNNNNNNNNNNNNNNNNNNNNNNNNNNNNNNNNNNNNNNNNNNNNNNNNNNNNNNNNNNNNNNNNNNNNNNNNNNNNNNNNNNNNNNNNNNNNNNNNNNNNNNNNNNNNNNNNNNNNNNNNNNNNNNNNNNNNNNNNNNNNNNNNNNNNNNNNNNNNNNCUGAAUUGAUUUGCAAGUUGACAAAAUAGUGUAAUGCUACUGCAGCACCAGGCCAGCCGUAGAGCACGAGUGAUGUAAGGAGUGUGGAGUGGAAACUGACCCAAAAAAACCUCGGGGAGCACGUCAACUCUUCCCAUCACACGGAGAACACACGCAGACCCGAAAAAGGCCUCGCGGAGCUUCCUCCCCCUAAUCUCCCGGUGCUCCUCCCCCCUCUCCCGGCUCAGUUUCCCCAUUCCCUCGACCCCCAGCGGCAGCCUACAGCUUCCGAGACAUUGACACAGAACCCAGACCCCGCCGGCUAACCCAUGGCCCCCAUGGCGCCGAGGAAACGCGCCAGAUACUGCUGCGGCCUCUGCGGCCUCCCAAAGAAGGGCCAUGUCUGCCACUUCGCCGGCGGUUCGUCUUCGGCGCGGCUGGUGCAGGGCCGAGAAGAAGCGCCGCCGCCCAGGGACCCUCCUGCUGCUGGCGCCAAGAAGGAGGAGGUCACCAUCAUCACCGCCCUCCCCAACGACGUCCUAGGCACCAUCAUCUCCGCGCUCCCCAUCGACGAGGCCGCCCGCACAAAUGCCAUCUCCAAAGGCUGGAAACACGUCUGGCGCGACUACACCCCGCUCAACCUCGACGACGGCGACCUCCACAAAAUGGCCUGGACCGGAGACAACCUAGUCGACCUUAUCUCAGACAUCCUCGAGGCUCCACGCGAGGUACGCGCCCGUCGUCUUUCUCUCAGCACGCUAUGCCAGCACUCCGGCGAUCGAGACCGCUACCCCAUCUUCGACCGCUGGUUCCGAUCCAAGGUUCUGGAUCACCUCGAGGAUUUUCAUUUCAGCUACCAGCGGGUGAACAACACCGAACCACUACAGGAUGGCGAGUUGAUGCCGCCGCUGCCGCCAUCCGCGCUGAGCUUUUCCUCCCUCCGCGUCGCCAGCUUUGGUUGCUGCCAUUUCCCUGAGAAUAUCUUAGCCUUGGGCGGCAUCACUUUUCCAUAUCUCAUCGAGCUCACACUCUGCCGGAUAACAAACUCCGAAAACACACUGCACGCCAUGAUAGCCGCAUCUCCAAAUCUUGUCUACUUGUACCUUCACAGAAACUAUCACUUCCGUCGCGUCCACAUCAGCUCGCAAACUAUUGUAAGGUUCCGCAUGUUUGUUGACCCAGACAGUGAUGUGAUGGAAGAACUCCUCAUCGUCAACACUCCAAGCCUAGAGGAAGUGAUGCUCUGGGACCAAGGUGAUUGUGGUCCACGAAUCAUACGUGUCCUGGUUGCCCCAAAACUUCACAUCUUGGGUUGUCUGCACAGCGACAUGAUGUCCACCGUACAGCUUGGGAAGACAGUACUCCAGGUAUAUAUGUAUCUAGGAGCCACACAGGGCAUCUGUAUAUAUCAUUCUUUUGCAAUCUUACUUAUAUACAUAUUCUUUCGUGCUUUGACGAUCCAGGCAAUGGUUGACAGCAGUCUAGUGUCAUCACUGCAUAAUGUAAAGGUCUUGAAGCUUGUUGUCCAUGGUCUUAGGUUAAAUCAUGUCAUUGACGUCCUCCAAUGCUUUCCCUGCUUACAACAGCUUCACAUAAAUGUGAGUUGGGUCGACCCUUUCUUUCUUUUUGCAAUCUUAGUUACGUUCUAUAUAUGUACUCUCUAUUUAUCCAUUCCUAUGUUGAGUAGGUCUACUCUAAAUUAUUCUCUUGCUUCGUUUUCAGACAUUGAUGGAGCCAUGUUCCAAACAAGCAGAACGACAAUCCAGCUGCUACUACUGUUGAGUGUGUUGAUAGACAUUUAAAGCAAGUAGUAGUGAGAAAUUAUUCAGGCAAGAAACCAGAUUAUAACUUUGCCAAGUUUUUUGUUUUGAACGCAAGAGCGCUAGAGUCCAUGAAGCUCCAUGUCCCUUUUAGCUGGAACAACGAAUGGCGCUCUAGACAACGUAUCAAGAUGGAUUUUAAGAACAGAGCUUCUCCAAAUGCUUUGGUUUAUUUUGAGGGCACCGAGUGAGCACAUGAUCAACCGCGCAGACGAGGUGUCAAAUUGUGUACCCCCUUGGCACCUAAGUUAUGUUUUUUUCCACAGUUAACUGUUGCCGGUUGUCGUUCCAUGUAGUUUGCAGAAACAGAAAGGUUACUUUUAUUUGUACUUAAUAACGUGAAGUUUACUAGUGAAAUUUCUAUGAUAUAUGAACCAUACCAACUACAUGUAUGUCGUUGUGGAAGUGUAUUGAGAAUAGUGCAUGUCUGCAUUGUUCCACCGAAAUAUUGAGGGUAUGAUGAAUCACCUUGACUUUAUGGGAAAAGAAUGAGUUCAUGAUUAUUCCAAUUUAUGGCUAAUAGAUAGAAGGUUCCUUAGGGCAUCUCCAAAGCUGACCCACAAAUAGCUCUAUUAUAUGUCAGUUUUUAUGUCCGGACGUGGUCUGCGGACAAGAUGUGGGAGCCGCCCAUCCAACCGUAGACGCAAACAUCUGCCUCUAGUAAUGAUUUUUCAAGAAAUUAACUCUGCCAUAUUAAUCUCCAGCCAAUAGAAAAUCCACCUUACGCCAAACAGAAAUCAACCUUCCAUCAUUUGAAUCAACCUUUCGCCAUUUGGAGUAUAAUUAUAGAAAAAUAAUUACUCCCGUAAUUUGAGGUGCGGCAGUUAAUGCGUAUAUCUUUCCUCUUUUAAUCCAACGAGCUAAUUAAUCCCAGAUUAAUUAACGGAGUAAUAAUUAAGGGCAAAUAGUGCCAAUGUUCCAUGUCUUGUUUAGUGCCAUCUACAACCAUUCCACUUAAACUUUGGGACAAUAACGUUGUUGCUAAAGAAUGAGGAGGCAGUGCGUAUUGAGUAGUUCAGGCCGAUAUGUCUACUCAAUGUGAGCUUUAAUUGUUUUACUAAAGUUGGGACAAACCGACUGAUGCGGAUUGCACAUAAUGUGCUGCAACCAACUCAGACGACUUUGAUGUCGGGCAGAAACAUACUAGAGGGUGUGGUUGUCCUACAUAAAACACUUCACGAGAUCCACUCAAAAAAUCUGGACGGGGUGAUCUUCAAAGUGGAUUUUGAAAAAGCGUAUUAUAAGGUUAAAUGGUCGUUCCUACCGCAGUCCUUACGUGUGAAGGGAUUCGACGAUUCCUGGAGGUAGCAAGUCGAUUCUUUGUAUAAAAAGGUAGUGUCGGGAUUAUAGUGAAUGAUGAUAUAUGUCACUACUUCCACAUGCACAAGGGUGUAAGACAGGGGGAACCGGUUUCUCCUAUCUUGUUCAGCACGGUGGCGGUUAUGUUGGAAAUUUUGAUAGGAAGAGCUAAAGAGGAAGGCCAAGUAGGAGGACUACUACCACAUCUAGUCGAGGGUGGGGUGUCCAUACUACAAUACGCUUAUGAUACCAUGAUUUUGUGUAAUAUGAUUUGGCAAAGGCGAGAAAUAUGAAGCUUGUGCUAUGCCUAUUCAAAUAAUUGUCAGGAUUGUAGAUUAAUUUUAACAAAAGUGAAUUGUUUUGCUUUGGGAGAGCCAAAGAUGAACAAGAUGCUUAUAGACAACUAUUCGCAUCUGAACUAGGUACCCUACCAUUUAGUUACCUGGGCAUACCAGUUCACCAUCGCAAGCCAUCUAACAAGGAGUGGUAGUGUAUUGAAGAUCAGUUUGAAAAACAACUAAGUUGCUGAAGGGUAAGCUUAUGUCAUACAGUGGUCGGCCGGUACUAAUAAACUCAGUGCUCAUGAGUGUGUCGAUGUUCCUAUUGUCCUUCUUUGAAGUACAUGUAGGGGUGUGGAAAAGGCUGGACUUCUAUCGAUCACAAUUCUUUUAGCAGUGUGAUGAAAUAAAGAGCAAAUAUAGGCUUACUAAAUGUUAUAUCAUUUGUAGGUCGAAGGACCAGGGCGGUCUUGGGAUUGAGAAUUAGAGGUAAAGAGCAGAUGUAUGCUUAUUAAAUAGUUGUACAUACUUUCUGUUGAGACCGAAGGCACGUGGGUACAAAAUUUCCGUAAUAAGUACCUACAAUCUAAGACCUUGGCCCAUCUUACCGCUAGACCCAAUGAUUCACCAUUCUGGAAAGGGUUGAUGAGAACGAAAGUAGCUUUCUUCCAUGGAACUAAAUUCGUCAAUGGAACUAAAUUCGUCAUUGGAAACAGUAAUUCGACUAGAUUUUGGGAGGAUACAUGGUUAGGGGAGACGCCUUUAACCACACAAUAUCCGUCUCUCUAUAACUUUGUAGAUCAUAAGGAGGCUUACAUUGCUAUAGUAUUACAGUCCAAUCCUCUAAAUAUUCAAUUCCGGAGAUCUUUAGUAGGAGACCGAUGGGAAGCAUGGCUACAUCUGGUGAGAAGGUUGAUGGAUGUUAACCUCUCAGAUGAGCCUGAUAGUAUUCACUAGAGAUUAACUAUGAACGACAUCUUCUCAAUGAAAUCUAUGUAUCUGGACCUAUUCGACUCUGGUCCGUUUAUGAAAUCGAUGCAUAUUUGGCAGAUCAAAGUGCCAAUAAGAAUCAAGGUCUUCAUGUGGUUUGUUCACAAGGAGGUGGUUCUGACUCAAGAUAACUUGGCAAAACGUAAUUGGGAGGGUAGUCAAAGAUAUAGCUUUUGUGAUCAAGAUGAAACUAUCAAACGCCUCUUUUUUGAUUGUCCGCUGGCCAAACUUCUAUGGUAUGCAGUUCAUAUAGCCUUUAAUUUCACCCCUUCAAAAAGUAUUCACACGUUAUUUGGGACGUGGAUAAAUGAAGUAGAGACAAAUAUCAUGAGAUGUAUUCAGAUAGGAGUGUGUGCAUUACUUUGGCCUAUAUGGAAACUAUAGAAAUGAUAUGGUUUUUAACAGACAAACUCAUAUAAUUAUUUUGCAGGUUAACUAUAGGGCCACUUCUUGGAUCCGUACAUGGUCGUUACUCACUCCCACGGAAGCCAGGGAGCCUUUGAUUACUGGGUCUACCCGAUGGGAGAUGGUAGCUUGGUAUAUGUUUGCCACUAAUCCAUCUCUCAUUGUUGUAUAUUGCCAUGUUGUAAGACUUGUAGAAACUAUGGACAGAGACUUAGAAAAAGAAGUGUUGUUGGGGGAUAUAAUCCGCGAUGGAGGUGAUAUCACCUUGUCGUUUCUCAACAACACCGAUGGUGAGGAAAGGGAGGAUGACGGCUCCGGUGAUCCAAUGGAGGAGGAAGGAGAUCAUGACGGCUUCGGUGCCCGAAUGGAGGAGGAAGGAGAUCAUGCAUGACGGCUGAUACGUCUCCAACGUAUCUAUAAUUUUUGAUUGUUCCAUGCUAUUAUAUUACCCCUUUUGGAUGUUUAUGGGCUUUAUUUUACAUAUUAUUAUCAUUUUUGGGACUAACCUACUAACCGGAGGCCCAGCCCAUAUUGCUGUUUUUUGCCUAUUUCAGUAUUUCGAAGAAAAGGAAUAUCAAACGGAGUCCAAACGGAAUGAAACCUUCGGAAGCGUGAUUUUUGGAACGAACGUGAUCCAGAGGACUUGGAGUGCAAGUCAAGAAGCAGCCGAGGAGUCCACGAGAGGGUAGGGCGCCCCCCCUAUAGGGCGCGCCCCCUGGCUCGUGGGCCCCUCGGGCAGCCACCGACGUACUUCUUCCUCCUAUAUAAGCCUACAUACCCCGAAAACAUCCAGAGAGCACCUGAAACACAAUUUCCACCGCCGUAACCUUCUGUAUCUGCGAGAUCCCAUCCUUCGCCGGCGCUCUGCCGGAGGGGGAAUCGACCAUGGAGGGCUUCUACAUCAAAACCAUAGCCCCUCCGAUGAGUUGUGAGUAGUUUACCACAGACCUUCGGGUCCAUAAUUAUUAGCUAGAUGGCUUCUUCUCUCUUUUUGGAUCUCAAUACAAUGUUCUCCCCCUCUCUUGUGGAGAUCUAUUCGAUGUAAUCUCUUUUUGUGGUGUGUUUGUCGAGAUCCGAUGAAUUUUGGGUUUAUGAUCAAGUUUAUCUAUGAGAAAUAUUUGAAUCUCCUCUGAAUUCUUUUAUGUAUGAUUGAGUUAUCUUUGCAAGUCUCUUCGAAUUAUUAGUUUGGUUUGGCCUACUAGGUUGAUCUUUCUUGCCAUGGGAGAAGUGCUUAGCUUUGGGUUCAAUCUUGCGGUGUCCUUACCCAGUGAUAGAAAGGGUUGCAAGGCACGUAUUGUAUUGUUGCCUUCGAGGAUAAAAAGAUGGGGUUUAUAUCAUAUUGCAUGAGUUUAUCCCUCUACAUCAUGUCAUCUUGGUUAAUGUGUUACUCUGUUCUUUGUGAACUUAAUACUCUAGAUGCAGGCAGGAGUCGGUCGAUGUGUGGAGUAAUAGUAGUAGAUGCAGGAAGGAGUCGGUCUACUUGUUGUGGACGUGAUGCCUAUAUACAUGAUCAUGCCUAGAUAAUCUCAUAACUAUUCGCUUUUUUAUCAAUUGCUCGACAGUAAUUUGUUCACCCACCGUAAUACUUAUGCUAUCUUGAGAGAAGCCUCUAGUGAAACCUAUGGCCCCCGGGUCUAUCUCUUAUCAUAUUUGCUUCCAAUCUACUUUUAUUUGCAUCUUUACUUUUUGCAUCUAUAUUAUAAAAUACCAAAAAGAUAUUUAUCUUAUCAUACUAUCUCUAUUAGAUCUCACUUUCGCAAGUGGCCGUGAAGGGAUUGACAACCCCUUUAUCGCGUUGGUUGCGAGUUCUUGGUUUGUUUGUGUAGGUGCGUGGGACUUUUGAGGAGCCUCCUACUGGAUUGAUACCUUGGUUCUCAAAAACUGAGGGAAAUACUUACGCUACUAUUGCUGCAUCACCCUUUCCUCUUCAUGGAAAACCAACGCAAGCUCAAGACGUAGCAAGAAGGAUUUCUAGCGCCGUUGCCGGGGAGGUCUUUGCUCAAGUCAAGACAUACCAAGUACCCAUCAUAAACCUAUGUCCCUUGCAUUUACAUUAUUUGCCAUUUGCCUCUCGUUUUCCUCUCCCCACUUCACCCUUGCCGUUUUAUUUGCCUUCUCUUUCCCAAUCUUUCUCUCUCUUUUCGCUUGCCUUUUACUGUUUGCUUGUGUGUUGGAUUACUUGUUCCCAUGGUGCAAGAUAAUACCAAAUUGUGUGAUUUAUCCAAUACCAAUAAUAAUGAUUUCCUUAGUACUCCGAUUGCUCCUAUUAAUGAUGUUGAGUCUUGUGAAAUCAAUACUGCUUUGCUGAAUCUUGUUAUGAAAGAUCAAUUCGCCGACCUUCCUAGUGAAGAUGCUGCUACUCAUCUAAACAACUUUGUUGAUUUGUGUGAUAUGCAAAAGAAGAAAGAUACAGAUAAUGAUAUUGUUAAAUUGAAGUUAUUUCCGUUUUCACUUAGAGAUCAUGCUAAAGCUUGGUUUUUGUCUUUGCCUAAAAAUAGUAUUGAUUCUUGGAACAAGUGCAAAGAUGCUUUUAUCUCUAAGUAUUUUCCUCCCGCUAAGAUUAUCACUCUUAGGAACGAUAUUAUGAAUUUUAAACAACUUGAUCAUGAGCAUGUUGCCCAAUCUUGGGAAAGAAUGAAAUUGAUGAUUCGCAAUUGCCCUACUCAUGGUUUGAAUUUAUGGAUGAUCAUACAAAUUUUUUAUGCCGGUUUGAACUUUGCUUCUAGAAAUCUCUUAGAUUCGGCCGCGGGAGGCACAUUUAUGGAAAUCACGUUAGGAGAUGCUACAAAACUUCUUGAUAAUAUUAUGGCAAAUUAUUCUCAAUGGCAUACCGAAAGAUCUUCUAGUAAAAAAGUGCAUGCUAUAGAAGAAAUCAAUGUUUUGAGUGGAAAGAUGGAUGAACUUAUGAAAUUGUUUGCUACUAAAAAUACUCCUCUUGAUCCCAAUGAUAUGCCUUUGUCUACUUUGAUUGAGAAUAAUAAUGAAUCUAUGGAUGUGAAUUUUGUUGGUAGGAAUAGUUUUGGAAACAACGCUUAUAGAGGAAACUUUAAUUCUAGACCAUUCCCUAUUAAUUCCUCUAAUAAUUAUGGAAAUUCCUACAAUAAUUCUUAUGGUAAUUUUAAUAAGAUGCCCUCUGAUUUUGAGAAUAGCGUGAAAGAAUUUAUGAUUUCUCAAAAGAAUUUUAAUGCUUUGCUUGAAGAAAAAUUGCUCAAAGUUGAUGAUUUGGCUAGGAACGUUGAUAGACUUUCGCUUGAUGUUGAUUCUCUUAAACUUAGAUCUUAUUCCCCUAAGCAUGAUAUCAAUGAUUCUCUCAAAGUAAUGAGAAUUUCCGUUGACGAGUGCAAGGAAAGAACCGCUAGAUUGCGUGCUAAGAAAGAUAGCUUUAUAAAGGCGUGUUCUUCUAGUUUCCAUGAAAAUAAUGAUGAAGAUCUUAAAGUUAUUGAUGUGUCUCCUAUUAGAUCUUUGUUUUGCAAUAUGAAUCUUGAUAAUGAUGGUAUUGAAGAUGAGUUAACUUUACCUAGAAGGCAUCCCAAAAAUUCGAAGUUUUUAGAUCUUGAUGCUAAAAUUGGUAAAAGUGGGAUUGGAGAGGUCAUCACUUUAAAUAGCAUUGAACCCACUAUCUCGGAUUUCAAGGAAUUUGAUUAUGAUAAUUGUUCUUUAGAAGGUUGUAUUUCCUUGUUGCAGUCCGUUGUUAAUUCUCCACAUGCUUAUAGUCAAAAUAAAGCUUUUACCGAACAUAUUGUUGAUGCCUUGUUGCAAUCUUAUGAUGAAAAACUUAAUUUGGAAGUUUCUAUACCUAGAAAACUUAAUGAUGAGUGGGAACCUACUAUAAAAAUUAUAAUUAAAGAUCAUGAGUGUUUUGCUUUGUGUGAUUUGGGUGCUAGUGUUUCCACGAUUCCGAAAACUUUAUGUGAUAUUCUAGGUUUCCAUGAUCUUGAUGAUUGCUUUUUAAAUUUGCACCUUGCGGAUUCCACCAUUAAAAAGCCAAUGUGAAGGAUCAAUGAUGUUCUCAUUGUUGCAAAUAGAAAUUUGGUGCCUGUAGAUUUUAUCGUACUUGAUAUAGAUUGCAAUCUUUCUUGCCCUAUUAUUCUUGGUAGACCUUUUCUUAGAAAGAUUGGUGUGAUUAUUGAUACGAAGGAAGGGAAUAUUAGAUUUCAAUUUCCAUUAAAGAAAGGCAUGGAUAACUUUCCAAGAAAGAAAGUCAAAUUACCUUAUGAAUCUAUCAUGUGAGCUACAUAUGAGUAAAGUGCCAAAGAUGGCACUACUUAGAUCUAUCUUCGCUUUUAUGCCUAGCUAGGGGCGUUAAGCGAUAGCGCUAGUUGGGAGGCAACCUAAUUUUCUUUGUGUUUUUUGUUUUUGUUCCUGUUUAGUAAUAAAUUUUGCUCGUAAUUUCUGUUUAGAUGUGUUUUUAUCUUUUAAUUAGUGUUUGUGCCAAGUAGAACCUAUCGGAUAAACUAUGAUGAUAGUUGAUUUGAUUUUGCUGAAAAACAGAAACUUUGCGCUCACGAGAAAAAAAAUCAAUAAAUCACAGAAACACGCUUUUGCAUUGAUUCAUUUUGCUGAUGAUCAAUAAACAAAUUUUCCAGUACGUCCUAUUUUGGUAGGAUUUUUAGAGUUCAACAAGUUUGCGUUAGUUACAGAUUGCUACAGACUGUUCUGUUUUUGACAGAUUCUGUUUUGCGUGUGUUGUUUGCUUAUUUUGAUGCAUCUAUGGCUAGUAUGUAAGGGUAUGAACCAUAGAGAACUUGGAAUACAGUAGGUUUAACACCAAAAUAAAUAAAUAAUGAGUUCAUUACAGUACCUUAUGUGGUGGUUUUGUUUUCUUUCACUAACGGAGCUUAUAAGAUUUACUGUUGAGUUUUGUGUUGUGAAGUUUUCAAGUUUUGGGUAAAGCUUUUAUGGAUUAUGGAAUAAGGAGUGGAGGCAUCCCCUCUUUCGUCUUCGUUCAUUGGUAACUUUACUUGGAGCUAUAUUUUUAUUCGCCACAUGAUAUGUGUUUUGCUUGGAGCGUCGUGUAGUAUAUUAGUCUUUGAUUUUUAGUUUACCACAAUCAUCCUUGCUGUACAAACCUUUUGGGAGAAACCUAUUGAUUAGAAUUUGCUAGAAUACUCUAUGUGCUUCACUUAUAUCUUUUGAGAUUGAUAGUUUUUGCUCUAGUGCUUCAUUUAUAUUUUUUAGAGCACGGCGGUGGCUUGAUUUUAUAGAAAUUAUUAGUCUCUCAUGCUUCACUUAUAUUAUUUUGAGAGUCUCUUAGAACAGCAUGGUAUUUGCUAUGGUUACAAAUUUCGUCCUAGAAUGAUGAGCAUUCAAGUUGGGUAUAAUAAAAACUAUCAUAGGAAGUGAAUUAGAUGCUAUGAUCAAUUUGUUGCUUGAUAAUUGCUUUGAUAUAAAGGUAGUAAUGUUAGGGUCAUUGAGGGAGUCCUGGAUUAGGGGGUGUCCGGAUGGCCGGACUAUGACCUUUGGCCGGACUCCCGGACUAUGAAGAUACAAGAUUGAAGACUUCGUCCCAUGUCCAGAUAGGACUUUCCUUGGCGUGGAAGGCAAGCUUGGCUAUACGAUAUGUAGAUCUCCUCCCAUCGUAACUGACUCUGUGUAACCCUAGCCCUCUCCGGUGUCUAUAUAAACCGGAGAGUUUUAGUCCAUAGGACGAACAACAAUCAUACCAUAGGCUAGCUUCUAGGGUUUAGCCUCUUUGAUCUCGUGGUAGAUCAACUCUUGUACUACCCAUAUCAUCAAUAUUAAUCAAGCAGGAGUAGGGUUUUUCCUCCAUCGAGAGGGCCCGAACCUGGGUAAAAACAUCGUGUCCCUUGUCUCCUGUUACCAUCCGCCUAGACGCACAGUUCGAGACCCCCUACCCGAGAUCCACCGGUUUUGACAUCGACAUUGGUGCUCUCAUUGAGAGUUCCUCUGUGUCGUCACCUUUAGGCUCGAUGGCUUCUUCGAUCAUCAACCACGACACGGUCUAGGGUGAGAUUUUUCUUGCAACACCCCAAAAAUUUAACCAGGUUUUAGUUAUUAAAAUUUUGCCAAGAGUUUAAAUUUUUUGCCUGCAAGAAUAUUUCUGUUGAUUUCAGAACCUUUCUUUUAAUAUUAAGGAGUUUCUACCCAAGUGGAUCCUUCCAAAACAUAUUGAACUUCUAUGCUCUCUCAUUAAAAGCAUUACUUAAUCAGUAGAUUUAUUUAUUAAAUUAUUUCACCCUGAGCUAUAUUCAUUAAAAUGACUUGUUUUAAGUUUUGGAGCUCUUUUUGAACUACAACCAGUUGAUAAAUUUAACUAAAAAUCCAACCAAAAUUUGGAGAUGUCAUGUGAUGUCUCUAAAUCACUUUUGUGCAAUAAUAUAUUUAUUUCAUUGCAUAUUUUGAGUUUUACACCUGUUUCUCAAAUCUGGUCCAGUGGACACUUUUGCACUAUAGCCUAAUUAAAUAUCUCCUCGGAGCCUCCACCAAAAUUAUGGGAUGUCAGUGAUAGCAUGCCAUCCAACUUUAUGCAAAAAUCUAGUGUUGCUUCUUUGGAGAAAUUGAGUGAAUCAACCUCUUUUUCAUUCUGGACCAGACUUGUGUUUUCUACUUCAACCCUAUUCAUUCUAGCUCUAGUGACCUUGUACUUCCUCCUGCUUGUAGUCAACCCUGCAAAACCCCUAAGUCCAGGAGCAUGCACUUUUUGGAACACUUUUGGUCCAUGUAAUGAUGCCAUUUUCUCCCUGUCCAGAAUUGUAGUUUUACAAAACUUGCACUAGCAAGUUUCUCCUUUUGGCAAACUAACUUCACCACUCUAUCAUACAUCCAUAGAGACACUGAUCUGGAGAAUUUGGCCACCCCAAGUACUGCGUGGAUGCCCUUCGCAUUUUGACAAACACCCUGAGUGCAUAGCCAUAUUUGGCAUGAUUUCAAGUUCACAUUGUGAACUUGAGCCCCUGACAUAUCCACCAUGUCCUUUGAUUCCCUUGCUAACCCUAGACUAGCCCUGUUUCUUGCCAGCCUCACCCGCGACCUCUAGGCUACCCUGGCUUUUCAUCGAGCACAUCCCGGGCGUGCUCUGGGCGCGCCCAGAGCGUGCGUUUGGCACGCACGUGCGCCCGAGCCGCCGCGUCCCGCCCUGCACUCACUCCGGACCGUGACCGACCGCAGCCAGCAUGCCGUGUCCCCUUCUGCACCCCACAAGCCCCGCAGCUCUCUCCAUGUCUCCGGCAGGCCAGCAGCUAGCCGCCAGCGCCGCCAGCGCCGCCCAAGCCACCCCCGCUCGCCAGCUCACCCUUGGAGCAGUAGCCGCUCGUCCGCUAGCUCCUGCCGCCAUCCCCAGCCUCGCCACGAUGCCCUGCAGCUACAGAACGUCGGUCGCCGAUGAACUCAUCCAUUGCCGCCGCGAACCGAUGUGGGAGCGCUAUAAAAGGAAGCCCCUCGAGCCCUCGAGCACACAAGCAGCCUCACACCGUACUCCUGGUGCCCCGUUGCCGUCAAUUGGAGAGAAAGAGUCCGUCUUCCCCCACUCCGGCCAGUUCGGCCACCAACGCCUCCUGGCUCCGUUCGGCGCAACCAGGGCCUCCCCCUCUCCACUCUCUCCACCAGGAACCCCCUCGCCCUCUCGUGAGUCCGUCCCCCUACUCAAUCUUGAUCGGGACUCGCCGCGGGCGAAAUGUCACUUUUUCCGACGACCACCGUCCGCCGCGGAGCUCGCCGCCGGCAUCUCCGUCCACCCCAGAGAACAAAGCGACCACCGGAGUGACCGCCUCGACCCCUUGAGCCCGCGGGUGACCUCUGUUUCUCGAACGGUGCCGCCGUUCGCCGGCGAGCGUCGCCGGAGUCCCGCCCCCCUCUCGGAUAGAGGAAGAGGAGGGAAGUGGACUAGUCAAACCUGACCAGUGGGCCAGGCGGGCCCACUGUCAGUGACUCAGGCGCAGUCCAUGCUGGAUAGGUGGAAGCGUAUUUCCAGAAUACGCUUUCGACGUGUACGUAUUUAUUCGAAACGUUUUUCUUUUCUGUUUUAUUUUAAAUAACAGAUUUUGACCAAACUUUGACCGGCUAUAUCUUAUUAAAUACAACUCCAAAUAAAUUAAUUCUUUUUCCCACCUCUCUCAAAUAUUGUCUAGUUUAUUUUAAGAUUUAUUUGAAAAAUUUUCAAAACAACUUUUUGUGCUGUUUUGAUUUUGUGUGUUAAUUCAAAUAUAUUUCAAAAAUAGGAUUUUGAAGAGAGGAGAAAGAUUUCAAGAGUUUUGGAAUGCACCUUGCCUCCCCACAACUUGAAGGCAAGCAUUCUGAACCCUAGUGUAAUUUUUUGUGUGUUGUUUGACUCGGUCACAACACCACCCCGACACGAGCAUACGUCAUUUUAUGUGAGGAUGUGAUCCUACUCAUGAGUGCAUAUUAAUGAUUUUUAUGCUGAUGGAGUUGACAUGGUUGUGAUGGAAAUCACCGUCAUAUGCCUUUCAUGCAUACCGGAAGGGAAGCCGGGAAGGUCUCUGUCUUGGGUAGACACGGUCAUGUUCCUAGUCCUCUGUCGAGACGGACAUGUCCGGUAUGGCAUGAGGGGGUAUGUCGCGUGUGGUUUCUAUCUGUUGGUUGAAGUAUAUUUUGUUAUACUAAUCAUGCAGAAAAAUAUUUGAACCUCCUGAGUCGACCGUAGAUCGAGUCUUGUUCCGGUAACCCCCAUACUUGUUUUUGGUGCUGCCACUUGUCCCUGCCAUAGGUAGGGUAUGGUUUAGUAAGUUGUCAACCCCUUUCCUAGCACACACUGUAUAGAGAGGCCAUGGUGGAAGAUACUGGAGGCAUCCGGUAGACAUGCCACCUGGUCCGGGAGCAUGGGUGUUUCGGUUGUAGCCGAAGGGGGUAGCUCCCCAGUUUGCGCGCGGUAUAAAUUUUUUGUGAUCCCAUGUUACGUCGAGGUUGUAGCCUCCCCACUUAGAGUUUUGCUUGACAGGCGUCAUGGGUGAUUCCAGACACAUGUGAGUUAAGCUGGUGUGUGCAAGUUAGGUGUGUUUCCAACUAAAAGAUCGUAGACGGAAUUAGUCCCGAUGGACUAAAGGAAUCCGUUACUCGUGGGUAAAGAGUACACCCUCUGCAGAGAUUAAACCUAUUCGGAUAGCCGUGUCCAUGGUUAAGGACUACAGUUUGGGAUGGGUCAAGUGUCGGUCUUAGUGUCGGUCUUCGGAGGUGAAACUGUUAAACCAGAACUGGUAUUACGACUUGUGACAUGUGAUAAUUUUGAUUAUUAUUUUUGUUGUGGACUAACCCGUGAUAUUAUUGGUAUUAUUGAAUAUCCCUGGGACGGUUCUACCUCCUGGAUAUUCACUGUGAUUCUUUUAAAGCCCUUUAUGUGGUGUCGCUAAGACGCCCGACUGCGACAUUUCUUUUAAAGCCCUUUAUGUGGUGUCACUAAGAUGCCUGACUGCGGCAUUUCUUUUAAAGCCCUUUAUGUGGUGUCACUAAGACGCCCGAUUGUGGCAUUUAUUUUAAAGCCCUUUAUGUGGUGUCGCUAAGACGCCCGACUGCGACAUUUCUUUUAAAGCCCUUUAUGUGGUGUCGCUAAGACGCCCGACUGUGGCAUGCUUGUUAUUUAUUUCAUAAUUUUAAUACUACUAUGUUAUUGCAUAUUCAUAAAUAACAUGCUUGCGUGCAUCAGAAUUUUUAUUAUCUUUUUUGACUGACGUCAUGAGCAUAAAAUAUUUUUUAGCACAUCAUUGUUAUAUUAUACCUGUGUUCAUAAUGUUUGCGAGUACAUUCAAAGUACUCACUGGCUUGUCCCUGGCUAUUGUCUUGGCCAAAUUUUCUUGCGCGGAGAGGAGCGACCGUGUCGACAGUUCCGGAACCUAAGCAACAGUGAUAGCAGCCUUGCAAAGAUAGGAGUUAACUUGGUCAGCUGUUUCUGUGGGAAGUGGAGUCCCAUAAACGCUGAUGAUCCACAAACCACUUCCGCCAUCAACCACUAGAAACCAUUUUUUGUACUCAUAGGCCAGAAUGGGCUAGUACUACAUAUUUUGCAUUUUGCUUGGAAUUUCUGUAUCAAGUUGGUGCCUCAUCAGCUAACAGUAAUCUUGGGGCUGGUGAGCACAAGGGCCAUUUUCUGGAAUUUAAUACCCGGAAAUUCGGUCCCCACAAACUUGGUACCAGAGCCAGGCUGACCAUUGGCUAAUCCUAUCUUAGCCAGGUCGAAAAACUUAGGCAAACCAACCCACCAGACCCUAACCAAAACCCCAGCCAAGCUUCCCGUGCAAGAUAGCCAUACAGUGACCCCAACACUCUUGGCAGUCGGUGCCCAACCUAUCAGCCUAGCCUGUUGAUCGCACGCCAGUGACCGAUGGCUAAAAUGUCUCAUUCGCAAGCGUGCGAAGGAAGACUCCAUUACUUUUUCUAUAAAAAGGGCACGCUAGCCUCAACUCAGCACAGCACAGCCUCUUCCCCGAACCUAGCCACUAUGCCUGGUCCCAUAGUGCACAAUGAGACCACAACAACCAACCUUGGAGGUUUUGUGACCAUACUCGCAAACCUCACCCAUCGUGCCUACGCGUUAGAAGAACCCCCAGAAUUUGUGGUGUACCAAGGAACCAUGAGUGGUGAGAGCCGUCAAUUCUGGGCCACUGUGCACAUCUACGGUAGGGGUCUGUCACCAGAACGCCCCUACAGGUUCACCGGAAGAACAACUUCCUUCGAGCCACAAGCCAUCCAGCUAGCUGCUUGAGAGGCUAUAGUUCAACUCCGGCAGUUGUCACCCAGAGUUAACUGUCGCUCGUUCUACUACUACCCCAGGCGUGAAGGGUAUGGUAGACCACCCCAAGUUGCCAACGGAGAUCACGAGACGGAUCCUGCAUUAUUGCACCUAGUGCGCUAUGUAAGUGCACUAGAGGCACUGUUCGACCAGAUCACCAUUGAUCUGAUCGCAGCUCGAGGAGAGCUGGUUCGCCGAGCCCCGGCAAGCAGGGAAGCCGAGCCCGAUGCCGACAACCCAGUCGUGCUGUUCGGACACCCGAUCGAGACCCUGAGGACAGCUCCAGCUAGCGGCCAAGGUACUUUGAUGACCCCAGAAGUGCUUCGUCACCUUUUGGGAGCACACUCCAACGGAAUUGUGGCCAACAAUCCCCGCGAUGGUCAUCAUUGCCACCCCGACCCUGCAGUCCCUCCACCAUCUCCGACUAAUCCUGACAGUGAGACACGUGGGGAGACCUCGACAUCCACCAGGCACACCUGUUUAGACAUAAACGAGGUAGACUAAGCCGUACAAGUAGUACCGAGUCUCAGUGUAUCCUCGCUUUGUAAUCGUGCGACCUUGUAAAUAAACGCAGCCUGUCGUUGUGCCUCUGUUUUAAUAGUAGCCUUGUGUAUUUUUGUCAGCGCAUAGUUGCAUAUUUUUCGGGCACAGCUACCAAAACCAACCCCGACGACACCCAUAGUAACGCGUCUCUUUAUAAGAUAUGUGUAUCUCUGACACUGACCCCGACCUUUGGAGCUAAUCUGGCAGAUUUAUUACCUUUCACCACGGUAAAUAAACCAGCCCAGAUGCUAUAUAAGAAGGCCACCUUGUGACCUUCCCAGCACCCCUCACCUCGUGCACCACUCUCACAACCAUAUCUUGCCAUGCCGAGCACUAUUAUUUAUCUGAGAACCCCAGAUGCAACACCAUGUAGCUUCGUCAAAAUAUUGUGGGACCUUACCUGCAGUACCAUGGGUUCUACCCAGCCACCCCAGUAUGAGCUGUUCAAAUCAAGAAUCACCCCUUCCACCUCGGAAUAUUGGGCAGCAGUACACAUCCCUCCCGUAGACUCCAACCAAGAUCCAACGGAAGUCUCUUUCGUGGGGAAAUCUAUGCCGACCCCACGCUUGGCCAUAGAAGCUGCUGCGAACGAAGCAAUUGCUCGUCUUCGAUUCGCGGUACCCUAUGCCCGCGAACGAGGAUAUUAUUAUUUUCCGAGCCGUGCAGCACCCGGAGGAGUAACAUCUUUUCCUGGUGGGCGGAUUGAGAGAGACCUAGUGCUAGCCAACCUUAUCCAGUACAUCAUCGCUCAAGAGCAUUUGAACCAGCGAGUAAUGGAUUAUCUCCAGAGUCUCGCUGAUUUGAAUCCUCAGAUUGCCAUCGGCAGACCACUAAGGCCCGACCCGGAGAGACACAUAUAUUGACUGGUCAAUCCACUUCCUCCGAUAGAAGAGGAGUGUAUUCCAUUGCCAGAGACAUUUUCUCGGGACCCCGUCUAGUUACCUUUCUCAUUUUAGACGUCACUGCUGUGUUUGUUAUUGCAGCAUUUAUUAUUACAUUGUAACUUAUGCAUGGUACCUCGAAUUUGUGCGACGAGUCGAGUAUUUGGUUUCUACUUAUAUGAGUAGUUUUCCUUGUGAUCAACCAUUGUACCCGCGAAAAUCCUAGAAUGAGAUUUCUUUUCCCUGAGUUGCUGCAUCGUUUAUCCUCUCACUGCAUGGAUUAUUUUUAUUCACGCAGCACCACGACAGCAGACCCACAACCACUCGGACUCCUACACUGUCUUGCAAAGACACGUAACCAUGUUGCGUCUCACCAACCAUCUCCCUAAACGCACCACAGCCUCCAAAGGAGAGAUUAGUGGAUAAUCAUCCAUAUACUAGUCACCUCCGACACACCGACAACAGUUGACACCCGGCAUUACGCCUAGUCCUCGUGAUCACCGCCAUCGCGGAGAGCCAGCACCCAAGCGGCAGCAUCACGGCGAUCAUCAAGGAUCAUCGCGCACAGAAGCACAGAUAGCCCCAGCACUCCACACACCAGGAUCAUGUACCAGUCCGGCACCACCUCCGCCAUUAGAGCCUCGUCUCGAGCUCCGGUAAGCAGUAAUGGAGGAGAAGGAGAGGAGAAACGAGGCCAUGUGCGAAGAAGAAGAAGGAGCACCGCGGUCGUUUUCUAGUUCGAGAUCGGUGUACGGUGGGCGAAGUCCACCAGCGCCGCUCGUCGCCUGGUCGCUGGUGUUCGGAGGCGAAUCCGCGAGCAGUGCCGACAGCGCAAUGGCCCACGAGGUGAGUGCACACUACACCGGCAGCAAGCAUGCCGCACACUACCGCGGUACGGCCUAGAUGCCCUACGCGCUAGAUGUCGCCGGUGGAGAAAGCCGGGAAAGCGUGCGGGAGAGAGGAGGAAGAGAGAGUCGGAGGAAGAAGGAGAGACUGACCAUGGGCCCUGGGCCCACCUAUCAGCCAGAGGGAGCACUAUGCUCUCGGGUACGACCAGCGUAUUUUAGAAUUUAGAACUUAUUCUAAAUUUACCGCGUCCAGCGUAGAGAUCGCUCGUUUUUCUUAAACAUGGAUUUCUCCACACAAGGCCAGUAUCCCACACUGUAGUUACUCACCACUUAUUGCUCUCUCACUGUAGCCACUUUUUACCGCUUAAGUAAAAUGAUCUUUUGACCAGGUAAAAGUAAUUUUGUUUUACAACCCUUAGCAAAUCUCGAGGACGAGAUUUUUCUUAAGGGGGGUAGUAAUUGUAACACCCCAAAAAUUUAACCAGGUUUUAGUUAUUAAAUUUUUGCCAAGAGUUUAAAAAUUUUGCCUGCAAGAAUAUUUCUGUUGAUUUCAGAACCUUUCUUUUAAUAUUAAGGAGUUUCUACCCAAGUGGAUCCUUCCAAAACAUAUUGAACUUCUAUGCUCUCUCAUUAAAAGCAUUACUUAAUCAGUAGAUUUAUUUAUUAAAUUAUUUUACCCUGAGCUAUAUUCAUUAAAAUGACUUGUUUUAAGUUUUGGAGCUCUUUUUGAACUACAACCAGUUGAUAAAUUUAACUAAAAAUCCAACCAAAAUUUGAAGAUGUCAUGUGAUGUCUCUAAAUCACUUUUGUGCAAUAAUAUAUUUAUUUCAUUGCAUAUUUUGAGUUUUACACCUGUUUUUAAAAUCUGGUCCAGUGGACACUUUUGCACUAUAGCCUAAUUAAAUAUCUCCUCAGAGCCUCCACCAAAAUUAUGGGAUGUCAGUGGUAGCAUGCCAUCCAACUUUAUGCAAAAACCUAGUGUUGCUUCUUUGGAGAAAUUGAGUGAAUCAACCUCUUUUUCAUUCUGGACCAGACUUGUGUUUUCUACUGCAACCCUAUUCAUUCUUGCUCUAGUGACCUUGUACUUCCUCCUGCUUGUAGUCAACCCUGCAAAACCCCUAAGUUCAGGAGCAUGCACUUUUUGGAACACUUUUGGUCCAUGUAAUGAUGCCAUUUUCUCCCUGUCCAGAAUUGUAGUUUAGCAAAACUUGCACUAGCAAGUUUCUCCUUUUGGCAAACUAACUUCACCACCCUAUCAUACAUCCAUAGAGACACUGAUCUGGAGAAUUUGGCCACCCCAAGUACUGCCUAGAUGCCCUUGGCAUUUUGACAAACACCCUGAGUGCAUAGCCAGAUUUGGCAUGAUUUCAAGUUCACAUUGUGAACUUGAGCCCCUAACCUAUCCACAAUGUCCUUUGAUUCCCUUGCUAACCCUAGACUAGCCCUGUUUCUUGCCAGCCUCACCCGCAACCUCUAGGCUACCCUGGCUUUUCGUCGAGCACGUCCCGGGCGUGCUCUGGGCGCGCCCAGAGCGUCCGUUUGGCACGCACGUGCGCCCGAGCCGCCGCGUCCCGCCCCGCACUCACUCCGGUCCGUGACCGACCGCAGCCAGCACGCCGUGUCCCCUUCUGCACCCCACAAGCCCCGCAACUCUCGCCACGUCUCCGGCAGGCCAGCAGCUAGCCGCCACUGUCGCCCGACAGCUCCUGCACUGGCCAGCGCCGCCCAAGCCACCCCCGCUCGCUAGCUCGCCCUUGGAGCAGUAGCCGCUCGUCCGCUAGCUCCUGCCGCCAUCCCCAGCCUCGCCACAAUGCCCUGCAGCUACAGAACGUCGGUCGCCGAUGAACUCAUCCAUUGCCGCCGCGAACCGACGUGGGAGCGGUAUAAAAGGACGCCCCUCGACUCCUCGAGCCCUCCGAGCACACAAGCAGCCUCACACCGUACUCCUGGUGCCCCCAUUGCCGUCAAUUGGAUAGAAAGAGUCCGUCUUCCCCCACUCCGGCCAGUUCGGCCACCGCCGCCUCCCGGCUGCAUUCGGCGCAACCAGGGCCUCCCCCUCUCCACUCUCUCCAGCAGGAACCCCCUCGCCCUCUCUUGAGUCCGUCCCCCUACUCAAUCUUGAUCGGGACUCGCCGCAGGCGAAAUCUCACUUUUUCCGACGACCAUCGUCCGCCGCGGAGCUCGCCGCCGGCAUCUCCGUCCACCCCAGAGAACAAAGCAACCACCGGAGUGACCGCCUCGACCCCCUGAGCACGCGGGUGACCUCUGUUUCUCGAACGGUGCCUCCGUUCGCCGGUGAGCGUCGCCGGAGUCCCGGCCCCCUCUCGGACAAAGGAAGAGGAGGGAAGUGGACUAGUCAAACCUGACCAGUGGGCCAGGCGGGCCCACUGUCAGUGACUCAGGCGCAGUCCACACUGGAUAAGUGGAAGCGUAUUUCCAGAAUACGCUUUCGACGUGUACGUAUUUAUUCGAAACAUUUUUCUUUUCUGUUUUAUUUUAAAUAACAGAUUUUGACCAAACUUUGACCGGCUAUAUCUUUUUAAAUACAACUCCAGAUAAAUUAAUUCUUUUUCCUACUUCUCUCGAAUAUUGUCUUGUUUAUUUUAAGAUUUAUUUGAAAAAUUUUCAAAACAACUUUUUGUGCUGUUUUGAUUUUGUAUGUUAAUUCAAAUAUAUUUUCAAAAAUAGGAUUUUGAAGAGAGGAGAAAGAUUUCAAUAGUUUUGGAAUGCACCUUGCCUCCCCACAACUUGAAGGCAAGCAUUCUGAACCCUGGUGUAAUUUUUGUGUGUGUUGUUUGACUCGGUGACAACACCACCCCGACACAAGCAUACGUCAUUUUAUGUGAGGAUGUGAUCCUACUCAUGAGUGCAUAUUAAUGAUUUUUAUGCUGAUGGAGUUGACAUGGUUGUGAUGGAAAUCACCGUCAUAUGCCUUUCAUGCAUACCGGAAGGGAAGCCGGGACGGUCUUUGUAUUGGGUAGACACGGUCAUGUUCCUAGUCCUCUGUCGAGACGGACAUGUCCGCUAUGGCAUGAGGGGGUAUGUCGUGUGUUGUUUCUAUCUGUUGGUGGAAGUAUAUUUUGUUAUACUAAUCAUGCAGAAAAAUAUUUGAACCUCCUGAGUCGACCGUAGAUCGAGUCUGUUCCGGUAACCCCCAUACUUGUUUUUGGUGCUGCCACUUGUCCCUGCCAUAGGUAGGGUACGGUUCAGUAAGUUGUCAGCACCUUUCCUAGCACACACCAUACAAAGAGGCCAUGGUGGAAGAUACUGGAGGCAUCUGGUAGACAUGCCACCUGGUCCGGGAGCAUGGGUGUUUCGGUUGUAGCCGAAGGGGGUAGUUCCCCAGUUUGCGCGCGGUAUAAAUUUUUUGUGAUCCCAUGUUACGUCGAGGUUGUAGCCUCCCUACUUAGAGUUUUGCUUGACAGGUGUCAUGGGUGAUUCCAGACACAUGUGAGUUAAGCUGGUGUGUGCAAGUUAGGUGUGUUUCCAACUAAAAGAUCUUAGACGGAAUUAGUCCCGAUGGACUAAAGGAAUCCAUUACUCGUGGGUAAAGAGUACACCCUCUGUAGAGAUUAAACCUAUUCGGAUAGCCGUGUCCAUGGUUAAGGACUACAGUCUUGGAUGGGUCAAGUGUCGGUCUUAGUGUCGGUCUUCAGAGGUGAAACUGUUAAACCAGAACUGGUAUUAUGACUUGUGACAUGUGAUAAUUAUGAUUAUUAUUUUUGUUGUGGACUAACCCGUGAUAUUAUUGGUAUUAUCGAAUAUCCCUGGGACGGUUCUACCUCCUGGAUAUUCACUAUGAUUCUUUUAAAGCCCUUUAUGUGGUGUCGCUAAGACGCCCGACUGCGGCAUUUCUUUUAAAGCCCUUUAUGUGGUGGCGCUAAGAUGCCCGACCGCGGCAUUUCUUUUAAAGCCCUUUAUGUGGUGUCCCUAAGACGCCCGACUGUGGCAUUUAUUUUAAAGCCCUUUAUGUGGUGUCGCUAAGACGCCCAACUGCGGCAUUUCUUUUAAAGCCCUUUAUGUGGUGUCGCUAAGACGCCCGACUGUGGCAUGCUUGUUAUUUAUUUCAUAAUUUUAAUACUAUUAUGUUAUUGCAUAUUCAUAAAUAACAUGCUUGCGUGCAUUAGAAUUUUUAUUAUCUUUUGUGACUGACGUCAUGAGCAUAAAAUAUUUUUUAGCACAUCAUUGUUAUAUUAUACCUGUGUUCAUAAUGUUUGCGAGUACAUUCAAAGUACUCACUGGCUUGUCCCUGGCUAUUGUCUUGGCCAGAUUUUCUUGCACGGAGAGGAGCGACCGUGUCGACAGUUCCGGAACCUAAGCAACGGUGAUAGCAGCCUCGCGAAGAUAGGAGUUAACUUGGUCAGCUGUUCCUGUGGGAAGUGGAGUCCCGCAAACGCUGAUGAUCCACAAAACGCUUCCGCCAUCAACCACUAGUAACCAUUUGUUGUACUCAUAGGCCACAAUGGGCUUGUACUACAUAUUUUGCAUUUUGCUUGAAAUUUCUAUAUCAAGUUGGUGCCUCAUCAGCUAACAGUAAUCCUUGGGCUGGUGAGUACAAGGGCCAUUUUUCUGGAAUUUAAUACCUGGAAAUUCGGUCCCCACAUUUCUCCCCGGACAUAUCUUCGUGUUCGGCGGCUUCGCACAGCGGGCUAAUUCGCUUGGCCAUCUGGAGAAGAUCGAAAUUUACGCCCCUGGCCAUCAGGUCAGAUUUGGAAGUUUGAACUACAUGGCUGACAUCCACGUGGACUUGAUCUUGGACGGAUUCGAGCCACGGCCGAGCGCGCCGCACUGUCACGAUGGGCAUGAUCUAGCUCUGCCGCCGGACAGCGCCCAGAGCGCCGCUCAAGUGUCCGCUCCGACCCUCAGCUCGGAGCCGACCGCGCCAGUCGGGGACGGACGGUUGGACGCCGCCCCGGGAGCUGCAAUCUCUACGGCGAUCGAGCCGAAUACCAGCCUAGUCCUUUGUGAGGCCUGUGACUCCAAGGUGCCGGACUCCUUUCUGGACUCCGAAUCUUCAGCACCCCUUCUGAUCGAACCCAAUCGGGCUCCGAUCAUGGAGUUCACCGCCGCGGACGUCUUUCAGCACUCGCCCUUUGGCGACAUCCUGAACUCACUAAAGUCCCUCUCUUUGUCAGGAGAGCCCUGGCCGGACUAUGGUCAGCAAGGUUGGGAUGCAGACGACAAAGAAAUUCGAAACCCACCCACCACCCACUUCGUAGCCACUGUUGACGAUUUAACCGACAUGCUCGACUUCGACUCCGAAGACAUCGACGGUAUGGACGCCGAUGAAGGAGACGACCAAGAACUAGCACCUAUAGGGAACUGGAAAACCACCUCGUCAUAUGACAUAUACAUGGUGGACACCCCAAAAGCAGGGUGUCGGUGUCAAAACCGGCGGAUCUCGGGUAGGGGGUCCCGAACUGUGCAUCUAGGCGGAUGGUAACAGGAGACGAGGGACAUGAUGUUUUACCCAGGUUCGGGCCCUCUUGAUGGAGGUAAAACCCUACGUCCUGCUUGAUUAAUAUUGAUGAUGUGUGUUACAAGAGUAGAUCUACCACGAGAUCAAGGAGGAUAAACCCUAGAAGCUAGCCUAUGGUAUGAUUGUUGUUCGUCCUACGGACUAAAGCCAUCCGGUUUAUAUAGACACCGGAGAGGGCUAGGGUUACACAGAGUCAGUUACAAUGGUAGGAGAUCUACAUAUCCGUAUCGCCAAGCUUGCCUUCCACGCCAAGGAAAGUCCCAUCCGGACACGGGACGAAGUCUUCAAUCUUGUAUCUUCAUAGUCUUGGAGUCCGGCUGAUGAUGAUAGUUCGGCUAUCCGGACACCCCCUAGUCCAGGACUCCCUCAGUAGCCCCUGAACCAGGCUUCAAUGACGACGACUCCGGCGCGCAUAUUGUCUUCGGCAUUGCAAGGCGGGUUCCUCCUCCGAAUAAUUUAUAGAAGAUUGUGAACACCAGGAUAGUGUCCGGCUCUGCAAAAAUAAUUUCCACAUACCACCGUAGAGAGAAAAAUAUUUACACAAGUUCAAUCUGCUGACGUAUUUGAUGGUGUGACGUCACACCACUACCAAGCCUUUACUCAAAUUAUUUUUAUUGUACCACCUCAACGCGUUUAGAAAAGCAGUUUCCUUGGCACGUCUUGUCGAAGCAGAGAUCGUGUUCCCCUUAUUCUAGGAUUCCCAUCAAUACGGACGUGGGUAACCCAACCGCGGCAUUGAUUGCGGCGCUUGGGGGAUAAGCGAGUUUUAUCAGGCCGGUGGGGACGCAUGUUUUCGUCCGCCCAUAUAAGGGGAUAAAGAUCCAACCCUAUUACCUGCGCCUUCUUCCUCCUUGGCUUACCCAUCUCUGCGAACCCGAGCUCCAGCGCACAAGCCCGCACAUCUCACCUCAACCUUCUCCAACUAUGUCCGGAGCAGGAGGCAAGUGGAUGGCCUCCUCCGUCACGGAGGGGCAGAUCCAAAAGCUGCGCAACGCCGGAUACUUGUCCAGCGACAUCACGCACCGGCUCCCCAACGAGGGAGAGCUCAUCCCCACCCCCAAGCCCCAUGAGAGGGUAGUAUUCCUUCCCCAUUUCCUCCGCGGACUGGGCUUCCCACUCCAUCCCUUUGUCUGGGGGCUCAUGUUCUACUACGGCCUGGAUUUCCAUGAUUUGGCCCCGAAUUUGAUCCUCAACAUCUCGGCGUUUAUCGUCGUGUGUGAGGCCUUCCUCUACAUCCAACCCCACUUCGGCUUGUGGCUCAAGACCUUCAGUGUCAAGACGAAGGUUGUGAAGGGAAGCCAAGCGGAGUGCGGAGGCGCCAUGGUGGGCAGGAUGUCCCACGUUACUUGGCUCGAGGGCACUUUCGUGGAAACCAUCAAGGGGUGGCAAUCGGGGUGGUUCUACAUCACCGAGCCGCGUGACCCCGAAUGGGCAGCGGUCCCCGAAUUGAGAUCCGGCAUCCCCACACGGCUCACCUCCUGGAAAGAGAGAGGCCGGACAUGGGGUGAUUCGGAGGAGCUGACCGGACUCCAAGCUUGUAUGCAAAAGCUAGUGGACAAGAAGCUCAAGCUUGUCAACGUAGUCCAGGUCAUGCUCAUCCGCUAGAUUCUCCCGUGCCAACGACGGGGCUUCAACAUGUGGGAGUUCGAUCCGGCGCAGCACCAGACUUUGAAUGGGCUCUUCAAAACUACGUACGAAGAUGUCUGGAAGGUGCUGUUCAAGGGCGCCGAGGCUCCCGCAUCCGCUACCGAAGAUCGCGGAUUCAGCUCGGAGCGUCCAGCUGAUGAGGUAAGUGAUUUUGUCCUUUAAGGAACGCUUGUUUUCCAUAGUUUGACUCUAUGCGGGAUCUAAACUCCCUUUCCUUUGACAGGACUGGCUAAAGAAGGCCGAACAAGCUAUCUGUCCGGCCCCAUUGCCAGAGGACCCAGCGGACGCCCGUUUGACAGGGCUGCUGGCUCCGGCACCCCAUGUGGUGCCGGAGAAGAAGGCCAAGAAGAAGGCCACGGGGACUCGGAAGAGUUCCCGCUUUCAGGUGCUAUCGGAUGACGACUCCGAGGUCGACUCCCCUCACCAAGGUGAGAAGGAGAAGAACAAAGCCUCUUCCCCAACGGGGGGAGAGAAGAAAAGGAAGGCCUCCCCAACGAGGGAGGCCGAAGGGUCCAAGAUGGGAAAAAAUCUUCCCCCGGACUGCUCUGCCAACGCCAGUGAUGACGACGAGGACUGGCCUCCAAGGGCCAAGCCCCUGGCGAGAUCGUGAGUAUCCGGACUCCCGAAUAACUUCAUGGUUUAUCUUUUUUGCCACACAAUGUCUUUCUAAUGCCGCAUACAACCCUGCAGUCCGCCCAAGGACGAUCUUCCUGCUUCGUCGAGCGGGUCCUUAGGUGCGUCAGAUAUGGAUUCUCUUCCGACCGCCUCCACCCCCCGUGACACAGACGAUGCCGAGGUGGGAUCCCGGGAAGGGACCCGCUAGGAGGAGGAGGCCCCGGAGGUGUCGCAGGGCAACCUCCCGGACUUUGCACCGGACUCAGCUCCGGAUCCCAUAGUGGCUCCGGAGUCCGGCGGGCGGCCCCUUCGUAAGAAGGGCAAGACCGUGACACCGGCAGCCUCCGUCCAACCGGAGGCGCCGGAUAGCUUGCUGGAGGCGCUCAAUGGCGCCUCCAUCGAAGAGGAACACCGCACUAUUAUGAGUGCGGUGAUUCUGAAGGUGCAGCUCGCCAAGAGCGGGCUGACCGAAGCCUGCAGCAGCCUUCUAACAGGCUUUGAGGUAAGAAUUUUGAUAUAUGUAAAAUAGUACCGCGUAGACAGUAGCCCCUGAUGCUCGGUUCGGUGUUCGGAAAGAAAAGCCGGACUGAGGAUCUAAGAAGAUAUACGCAGGAGUCAUAAAAAAUAUGUCGAUAUGGGAUUGCAGGCUGCGCUGCUGACCUCUGCCGCACUGACUGCGGAGGUCAAUACUUUGAGGGAAGGCCUCGAGAGGUCCGAGAACGAGCUCGGCAGUGCCAAGAAGCAGCUCGAGGACAAGGAAGGUGAGUAACACCUUAUUAAAAUUGUGCCUUACAGAAAAGGAUUUUGGUUGCAAAAUGAAAGACAAGGAUAACGUGGGUAUUGCAGGGGCCACUUACGAGGUGGCGACCCUGAAAGAGGCGGUGGCUGCGGCCGAACACAAUGCGGCCGCGGAGCGCACCGAGCGAGAGAAGCAGGAGGCGCGGGUGGCGGAGGUACAGCAAGAGCUCCAGGAUCUCGUGAAAAAACAUGAGAGCCUGGAGCGUGACUCGAAGACUCGAGAGUCUGAGCUUGCAACGGCUCUUGAGAGUGCCAAAGCCGCUAAGGCCGAAGCCUACAAGGCCCUCCAGGAAAUCGAGGCGUUGAAGAAAAUAGCAGCGGGUAAGGCAUUUUUCAUGCAAAGUAAGCAUGUGAGUGUUAAUUACCUGUUGCUUACCCGAAUUAUGAGCUCUCCAGGAGCGUUCGCAGACCUUCCUCGCAGCGUGUCCGAUGCUGCCGCGUUCUACCGGGCCGAGGAGGGGAGCUCGACGGAGAAGGUCUUCUGGUCUCAGUAUGCUGAGGCCGGACAUCCGGUGCCUCUUAGCGACCAGCUAAAGCAGCUGGUCGAGCUCCACAAGGCGGCCGAACAGGCCAUGAAGGGCCUCAUAGUUCGGCUGUGGCCUAAGGAGGUCAUGCCUGGGAGCUACUUCGGCCUGGUGCAGCGGCUGGUGGAUGCGUGCCCGUGGGUCGAAGUCAUCAAGCACUCCGCCUGUAUUGAAGGUGCCCGUCGGGCCCUUGCCCGCGCAAAGGUGCACUGGGGCAAGAUGGAUGCCCAGAAGCUCGUGAUGGACCCACCACCAGAGGGCAAGGAGCAUCGCACGCCCGAGAUGUAUUAUAAGAGUGUGCUGAAGGGCGCCCGCACUGUUGCGGGUGAGUGCUCCAAAGAUGUAAUAUUUGAGUAGACUCGCAUUUUGUUAUCCUAUGCGCUGAAAACUUAGUUCAUUUGCGCUAAGCAACGCGUUUUGAUUUAAAAUAUUACCUUCUGUGCGGCUGUUUAUCAAAUCUGAGAGAUGGCAAGUCGUCGGCUUCAGCCCCCAUGCCACGAGUGCUGGGGUGUUCGGGAUAAACUUGAGCACUCUUGUUCCCAUAUUUGGGUCCAUCUAGGGAGGCGCUCAACACAACGAACAAGGCAACCGGACUUAUAAUGCUUGAACACUCUCACUUAGCCAUAGAAUUCUAUAAUUUUAAAUUUCGGCGAAGCCCCUAAUCUUCGAAAGGCCGAAUUUGGGGCGCUAUCCACGCCUUGGCCGGACAAAAACCGGCUCCUCGCUCUAAGCGGCACAAGUCUUUAGGGACUCGCAAAAAACCUCUCGAACAGCGACCAGCUCGCGCCUCAUCAUGACGAUCAGUUUUAGCUUUCUCCACUGAGGCGUUAACCCAGCUCAACUAGGGCGCAAUCGCAGUGGUUCUCCCAAUGCUACCUUAGCCGAUACAACGGAACAUAAGGUACCAAAACAUGGGAGCCGGGCAAACCCAACUAUUGACCCACGGAGCUGAUGCAUAUAAUGCUAUAAGUUCGGGGUGCCGCACUUGUGAAAGUGUUCGGACUUAUCACACCAUGAUGCGGGAAACAUAAGCCCCUGGUGUAUUUAGCCGUACCAAAACGUACGGAUGCAUAAUGUCACAAAUGAACAUAUGUAUAAAAAAGAAAUGCAAUUGUAAGCAAAAAAGGUGCUGCAUUACUUAUUAAAGAAAAACUGCUGUAACUGCAGAACGAUACAAAUGGUGCGAUAAGCAAGGGAUGGGACUGUUAAACAUGUCCCCCUCUAGGGGUAGGCUACGAAAUGGUGCAUAAAACAGAUUUAAUGCUCGUAAUGGUGACCACCUGGAUAUUCGUUGUAGCCUUUCUUCUUCCCUGGCUGUUGCAUGUGAGUUCGGCAGGUCUACUGCCGGACAGGCCCUCUGACGAACGGAGUCCUGUGGGUAAAAAUAAAAAAAAGGAAAAAGAAAAAAAAAGAACGACACACUUGAGAGCCCCUGGUGUGGUUGAGCCGCAGUCUGGGCCUAUCGUGGUCGUGCCCCUCUCCCCAUGCCCAUGGUAUCUUCAGAGCGUAAUGGUGUACGCGAAGGACCUGUCUUGACGUUUUACAGGGGCUGGGGUUGGGGCCGCACUGCUACGAAUGCUCGGUACGUGCCAGGUGGUCUUGUUGUAGGUUACUCCGGGCGCGCUUAGCUGUGUCCGGCCGCUUAACGGCCGAACUCGAGAAUUGCCUUAAGAGGUUGCAUUGUACUUCUGCCGCGAGAGCCGCUGUAUGUUCCUCCGUGUGGAGAGAACGUUCAAUGUUUCCGUUGACCGUGAUGACUCCUCGAGGGCCUGGCAUCUGGAGCUUGAGGUAUGCGUAGUGCGGCACCGCGUUGAACUUUGCGAACGCGGUACGUCCAAGCAGAGCAUGAUAGCCGCUGCGGAACGGAACUAUGUCGAAGAUUAAUUCCUCGCUCCGGAAGUUAUCCGGGGAUCCGAAGACCACUUCCAGUGUAACUGAGCCUGUACAAUUGGCUUGUACACCUGGUAUGACGCCUUUAAAGGUCGUCUUGGUAGGUUUAAUCCUUGAGGGGUCUAUGCCCAUUUUGCACACUGUGUCCUGAUAAAGCAGGUUCAGGCUGCUGCCGCCGUCCAUCAGGACUCUGGUGAGGUGAAAUCCAUCGACAAUUGGGUCUACAACCAAUGUGGCGAGUCCGCCAUGGCGGAUGCUGGUGGGGUGGUCCCUCCGGUCAAAAGUGAUCGGGCAGGAGGACCAUGGAUUGAACUUCGGGGCAACUGGCUCCAUCGCGUAUACAUCCCUGAGUGCAUGCUUCCGCUCCCUUUUGGGUAUGUGCAUUGCGUAUAUCAUGUUCCCCAUCCGCACCUGUGGGGUGAAACCCUUCUGUCCUCUAUUGUUCGGCGGCUGGGUCUCUUCCUCGUCAUCGCUGUGCAGCCCCUUGUCAUUGUUUUCGGCAAUUAACUGGCCUGCCUGUUUGAAUACCCAACAGUCCCUGUUGGUGUGGUUGGCUGGCUUUUCUGAGGUGCCAUGUAUCUAGCACGAGCGGUCGAGUAUUCGGUCCAAAUUGGACGGACCCGGAGUAGUUCUUUUGAAUGGCUUUUUCCGCUGGCCUAGUUUAGAGCCUCUGAAUCCGGCAUUGACUGCCGUAUCUUCACUGUUAUCGCCGUUAAUGCGGCGUUUGUUUUUGUUGCGAAGUGACCUGCCAUUACGGUCCUUGAAAUCUGGACUGCCAGAAUUUUUGCUGAGGUUAUUGCUGCGUGCUAGCCAGCUGUCCUCACCCGCGUAGAAGCGGGUCAUGAGUGAUGUGAGGGCUGCCAUUGAUUUCGGCUUUUCCUGUCCUAGGUGCCGGGCCAGCCACUCGUCAUGGAUGUUGUGCUUGAAGGCCGCUAGGGCCUCUGCAUCCGGACAGUCGAUGAUUUGGUUCUUCUUUGUUAGGAACCGUGUCUAGAAUUGUCUGGCCGAUUCGUCUGGCUGCUGAAUUAUGUGGCUUAGACCAUCGGCGUCUGGUGGUCGCACAUACGUGCCUUGGAAGUUAUCGAGGAAUGCGGCUUUCAGGUCUUCCCAACUCCCGAUUGACUCUGAUGGCAAGCUGUUAAGCCAAUGCCGGGCUGGUCCUUUAAGUUUGAGUGGGUGAUAUUUGAUGGUGUGAAGAUCAUCACCGCGGGCCAUGUGGAUAUGGAGGAGAUAGUCUUUGAUCCAAACCGUGGGGUCUGUUGUGCCAUCGUAGGAUUCAAUGUUCACAGGUUUAAACCCUUCAGGGAUUUGAUGAUCCAUUACUUCGUCUGUGAAGCAUUGUGGGUGUGCGGCGCCUCUGUACUGGGCGAUAUCGCAACGGAGCUCGAAAGAGCUUUGUCUAUUUUGUUCGGCCCGACCGGACUUACUGUGUCCGGCACGACGGUUGUUGUCACGUAUCAUGGGGCGCCCAUGCGAUCCAUAGAUCGAUCUUGAUUGUCUUGCCUUAUCCUCCAAUAUAUCUCGCAAGUCCGGAGCGUUCCCUUGUGGCUUUGUGCUCUUCGAGCGAUGCCGGGGUACGGUUCUAGUGAAGAGCCUAGGGGCCUCUCUAUCGCGACCACGGGGUGGUCGGUCAGCCGUAUUGUCUACUGGUGAUGCAGGUUCAUACGCCUCCUCCUCUAAUCGGGGGAGUAGCUUGCGUUUAGGGUAACUUUUGAAGGGGCGUUCGAGCUCAUGCUCUUCGACCGCGAGGACUCCAGUCCAUCUGUCGGCUAGCAGAUCUUGAUCAGCUCUAAGCUGUUGCUGCUUUUUCUUUAGGCUGUUUGCCGUGGCCAUAAGCCUGCGUUUAAAACGCUCUUGUUCGACGGGAUCCUCAGGCACGACGAAUUCGCCGUCAUCGAGGCUUGUCUCGUCUCCGGAGGGAGGCAUGUAGUCCUCUACCUCUUUGAUUGCCGCUCUCUCAUGAGGGCUGGCGUCCCCGUCCUCCUGUGCUGAAUCGUGUUGGAGUGGGUUGUCUUCGGCACUAUCUGGGGUGUUAUUAUCUCCGGUGCCGGAAUCUUCAUUCUUGCUAUGGCGGGAUUUAGAGCGGCGCCGCUGACGCCGGCGCUUGGGCUGUUUCUUGGAGGGGUCAUCCUCCCCUGCCCCUUCGCCAUUCCCAUCCUUUGGGAUAUCCACCAUGUAUAUAUCAUAUGAUGAGGUGGUUUCCCAGUGCCCGGUAGGCGCUGGUUCUUGGUUGUCUCCGGCAUCGUUGUCCAUACCGUCGAUGUCUUCGGAGUCAUAGUCUAGCAUGUCGGUUAGAUCAUCGACAGUGGCUACCAAGUGGGUGGUGGGUGGGUUUUGAAUUUCUUCAUCGUCCGCAUCCCAACCGUCCUGGCCGCAGUUCGGCCAGGGCUCUCCUGAUAAUGAGAGGUACCUUAGCGAACUCAGGAUGUCACCAAAAGGUGAGUGUUGAAAGAUGUCCGAGGCAGUAAACUCCAUGAUCGGCGCCUAACCGGAUUCGAUUGGUGGGGGCGCGGGAGGUUCGGAGUCCGGCAAGGAGUCCGGCGCCUCGGAGUCACGAGCUUCAUGAGGGACAAGGUCAGUGUUCGGCUCUAUCGCCGUAGAGGUUGUAGCCCCCGAGGCGGCGUCUAACCAUCCGUCCUCGAUCUGCGCAGCUGGCUCUGAAUUGAAGAUCGGAGUGGGCUCAAGUGCGGCCUCCAGGGUACUGUCCGGCCGCAGAGCUAAAUCAUGCUCGUCGUGACAGUGCGGCACGCUCGGCUGUGGCUCGAAUCCAUCGAGGAUCAAGUCCCCAUGGAUGUCAGCCGUGAAGUUCAAACUUCCAAAUCUGACCUGACGGCCAGGGGCGUAACUUUCGAUCUGCUCUAGAUGGCCAAGUGAAUUGGCCCGCAGUGCAAAGCCGCCGAAUACGAAGAUCUGUCCGGGGAGGAAGGUCUCACCCUGGACUGCAUCGUUGAUGAUGAUCGGAGAAGCCAUCGAGCCUAUCGGCGACGGCACAGAGGAACUCUCAAUGAAAGCACCAAUGUCGGUGUCAAAACCGGCGGAUCUCGGGUAGCGGGUCCCGAACUGUGCGUCUAGGCGGAUGGUAACAGGAGACGAGGGACACGAUGUUUUACCCAGGUUCGGGCCCUCUUGAUGGAGGUAAAACCCUACGUCCUCCUUGAUUAAUAUUGAUGAUGUGUGUUACAAGAGUAGAUCUACCACGAGAUCAAGGAGGCUAAACCCUAGAAGCUAGCCUAUGGUAUGAUUGUCGUUCGUCCUAUGGACUAAAGCCAUCUGGUUUAUAUAGACACCGGAGAGGGCUAGGGUUACACAGAGUCGGUUACAAUGGUAGGAGAUCUACAUAUCCGUAUCACCAAGCUUGCCUUCCACGCCAAGGAAAGUCCCAUCCGGACACGGGACGAAGUCUUCAAUCUUGUAUCUUCAUAGUCUUGGAGUCCGGCCGAUGAUGAUAGUUCGGCUAUCCGGACACCCCCUAGUCCAGGACUCCCUCAUAGGGAAUGGCGAUGAAAAAACGGAGGAUGACCCCUCCAAGAAACAACCUAAGUGCCGGUGUCAGUGGCGCAGCUCUAAAUCCCGCCAAAGGAAAAACGGCAAGUCCGGCACUGGGGAUAACAACACCCCGGAGAGUGCCGAAGACAACCCCCUCCAGCAGGAUUCAGUGCAGAAGGACAGAGAAGCCAACCCUCAUGAGAGAGCGGCAGACAGGGAGGUCGAGGACGACAAUUAUAUGCCUCCCUCCGAAGACAAGGCAAGCCUCGACGACGAUGAAUUUUUCAUGCCAGAGGAUCCUGUCGAACAAGAGCGUUUCAAACGUAGGCUUAUGGCCAUAGCAAGCAGCCUCAAGAAAAAACAGCAGCAGCUUAGAGCUGACCAAGAUUUGUUGGCUGACAGAUGGACUGAAGUCCUGGCGGCCGAAGAGUACAAACUUGAACGCCCCUCCAAGAGACAUAUUGGAGGAUAAGGCAAGGCAAACAAGAUCAAUCUACGGAUCACGUGGGCUCCCCACGUCACGUGACGAUAACCGUCACGCCGGAUAUGACAAAUACGGCCAGGCCGAACACGACAGACAAGGCUCAUCCGAGCUACGUCGUGAUAUAGCCCAGUAUAGAGGCGCCGCACACCCACUAUGCUUCACAGACGAAGUAAUGGGUCAUCAAAUCCCCAAGGGUUUUAAACUCGUAAACAUCGAAUCAUACGAUGGCACAACAGAUCCUGUGGUAUGGAUCGAGGAUUAUCUCCUUCAUAUCCACAUGGCCCAUGGUGAUGAUCUACACGCUAUCAAAUACCUCCCGCUCAAGCUUAAAGGACCAGCUCGGCAUUGGCUUAAUAGCCUGCCAGCAGAGUCAAUUAGUUGCUGGGAGGACUUGGAAUCCGCAUUCCUUGACAACUUCUAGGGCACUUAUGUGCGACCACCAGACACCGAUGACCUAAGCAACAUAAUUCACAAGCCAGAGGAAUCGGCCAGACAAUUCUGGACGCGGUUCCUAACCAAGAAAAAUCAAAUAGUCGACUGUCCGGACGCAGAGGCUCUUGCAGCCUUCAGGCACAACAUCCGAGACGAAUGGCUUGCCCGGCACCUAGGACAGGAAAAGCCGAAAUCUAUGGCAGCCCUCACGACACUCAUGACCCACUUUUGUGCGGGAGAAGACAGCUGGCUAGGACGAAGCAAUAACAUGACCAAGAGCCCUGGUAACUCAGAUACCACGGACAACAAUGGCAGGUCGCGUGGUAACAAGCACAAGCGUCGCAUUAACGGCGAUAAUACUGAGGAUACGGCAGUUAAUGCCUUAUUCAGAGGCUCUAAACCCGGUCAGCAGAAGAAGCCAUUCAAAAGAAAUCCUCCGGGCCCAUCCAGUUUAGACCGGAUACUCGAUCGCUCGUGCCAGAUACACGGCACCCCCGAACAACCAGCCAAUCACACCAACAGGGAUUGUUGGGUGUUCAAGCAGGCAGGCAAGUUAAGUGCCGAAAACAGAGACAAGGGGCUGCAUAGCGAUGACGAGGAGGAGCCUCGGCUGCCGAACAACAGAGGAUAGAAGGGCUUCCCCCACAAGUACGGACGGUGAACAUGAUAUACGCAACCCAUAUCCCCAAAAGGGAACGGAAGCAUGCUCUCAAGGACGUCUAUGCGUUGGAGCCAGUCGCCCCAAAGUUCAACCCAUGGUCCUCCUGCCCGAUCACUUUUGAUCAAAGGGACCACCCCACUAGCAUUCGUCACGGCGGAUUCGCCGCAUUGGUCCUAGACCCAAUCAUUGACGGAUUUCACCUCACUAGAGUCCUCAUGGACGGCGGCAGCAGCCUGAACCUGCUUUAUCAGGAUACAGUGCGAAAAAUGGGUAUAGAUCCCUCGAGGAUUAAACCCACAAAGACGACCUUUAAAGGCGUCAUACCAGGUGUAGAAGCCAGCUGUACAGGCUAAGUUACACUCGAAGUGGUCUUCAGAUCCCCGGAUAAUUUCCGAAGCGAAGAGUUAAUCUUUGACAUAGUCUCGUUCCGCAGUGGCUAUCAUGCCCUGCUCGGACGAACCGCAUUCGCAAAAUUUAAUGCGGUGCCGCACUACGCAUAUCUCAAGAUCAAGACGCAGGCCCUCGCGGAGUCAUUACGAUCAAUGGAAACACCAAACGCUCUCUCCGAACAGAGGAGCACACGGCGGCCCUGGCGGCGGAAGUACAAAGUAGCCUCUCAAGGCAAUUCUCCAAUCCGGCUGUUAAAUGUCCAGACAACGUCAAGCGCGCCCGAAGUAACCUACAACCAAACCGGCUGACACGUCCCGAGCAAGCAUAGUAGUGCAACCCCAACCCCAGCCCUCGCGAGAUUGCGAUAGCAGUACCACGCGUACAUAACUACGCUCUGGAAAUACCAUGGGCAUAAGGGGAGGGGCACAACCAUGGCACGCCCAGAAUGCGGCUCAACCGCACUAGGGGCUCCCGAUUUUGCCAUUUUCUUCUUUCUUUUUAUAUACUUUCAGGACUCCACUAUUCGGAAGGCCUGUCCAGCAAUACAAUCGCCGAACACACGAUGCAACAGCUAGGGAGACAACAAGCCACGUCAAAUGUCCAGGUGGUCUCUAUAACGAGCUAAAUACCUAUCUUACUUAAAGUCUCGUAGCUUGCCCCUGGAGGGGGACAUGUCAAAUAAUCCCAUCUCUUGCACAUUGCACUAUUUGUAUCAUCCUGCUCUCAUAUCAGCCCCUUUUUAAUAAACAAUACAUAGCUCUUGUCUGUUAUUGUAUUCAUUUAUUUUUAUAUAAAUAUGUUCAGUCAUGACAUUAUGCAACUGUACACUUUGGUAUGGCCAAUACACCAGGGGCUUAAGUACCCCAUAAUACGGUGUGAGAAGACCGAACACUCUCAUGAGUGCGGCACCCCGAACUUAUAGCACUAUAUGCAUCGGCUCCGAAUCAUGUCUUGGGUCAAUAGUUGGGUUUGCCCGGCUCCCAUGUUUUGGUACCUUACGUUCCGCUAUGUCGGCUAAGGUAGCGCUGGGAGAACUAAUGCGAUUGUGCCCCAGUUGAGCUAGGUUAACACCUCAGUAGAGAAAGCUAAAACUGACCGUCAUGAUAGGGCGAGAGACCGGUCACUGUUCGAGAGGUUUUUCGAGUCCUUAAAGACUUAUGCCGCUUAGAGCGAGGAGCUGGCUUUGUCCAGCCUAGGCAUGGAUAGCACCCCGAACUCGGUCUUCCGAAUACUAGGGGCUUCGCCGAAAUUUAAAAUUAUAGAAUUCUAUGGCUAAGUGAGAGUGAUAAAGCAUUAUAAUUCUGAUGGCCUUGUUUGUUGUGCUGAGCGCCUCCCUCGAUGGACCCAAAAAUGGGAACAAGAGCGCUCAGGUUUAUCCCGAACACCCCAGCACUUGUGGCAUGGGGGUAUAAGCCCACAACUUGCAUCUCUCAGAUUUAAUAAACGGCCACACAGAAGGUAAUAUUUUAAAUUCAAAAAGUGUUGCUUAACGCAUAUGAACAAGUUUUCAGCGCACAGGACAAACACGAGCGAGUUUACUCAAAAAUUACAUCCCUGGUACAUUCAUCCGCCACACGACGGGCACCCUUCAGGACGCCCUCAUAAUACAUCUCGGGCCUGCGAUGCUCCUUCCCCUCCGGUGGCCCUUCUGUCACCAGCUUCUCAGCAUCCAGCUUUCCCUAGUGCACUUUAGCACGGGCAAAAGCCCUACGGGUGCCUUCGAUGCAUACGGAGCGCUUGAUGACUUCAAACCAGGGAUAGGCAUCCACCAGCCGCCGCACCAGCCCAAAGUAGCUCAAAGGCAUGACCUCCCUAGGCCACAGCCGGCCUAUCAGGCCCUUCAUGGCCUGUUCGGCUGCCUUAUGAAGCUCGGCCAGCUGCAACAGCUGGUCGCUCAGGGGCACCGGGUGUUCGACCUCAGCAUACUGGGACCAGAACACCUUCUCCGUCGAGCUCCCUUCCUCGGCCCGGUAGAAUGCGGCGGCGUCGGAAACACUGCGGGGCAGAUCUACGAACGCUCCUGGAGAGCUCCGGAUUCGGGUAAGUAACAGGUAAUUUACUUUCACAUGCUUGCUUUGCGUAAGAAUGCCUUACCCGCCGCAAUCCUUUUCAUCGCCUCAAUUUCCUGAAGGGCUUUUUGGGCUUCGGCCUUGGCAGAUUUGGUGCUUUCAAGUGCCGAGGCAAGCUCGGACUCUCGAGUAUUCGAGUCAAGCUCUAACCUCUCAUGUUUUUUCACAAGAGCAUCGAGCUCUUGCCGCACCUCUGCCACCCGUGCCUCUUGCUUUUCUCGCUCAGUGUGCUCCAUGGCCGCAUUGUCUUCGGCCUUGGAAAGCGCUUCCUUCAGGGUCGCCACCUCAGUUGUGGCCCCUGUAAUAUUCACGUUGGUCCUGUCAUCAUUUGCAACCAGGUAUUUAUAUAUACAAUUACAUAAGGUACUACAUACCUUCCUUGUCCUCGAGCUGCUUCUUGGCACAGCCAAGCUCGUUCUCGGACCGCUGGAGGCUCUGCUUCAAUGCAUCGACCUCCGCAGUCAGUGCGGCAGAGGUCAGCAGCGCAGCCUGCAUUCCCAUAUUGACAUAUUUAUGUUAGACUCCUGCGUAUAUCUUUUUUUAGAUCCUCAGUCUGACUUUUCCUUCCGAACACCAAACUGAGCAUCAGGGGCUACUGUCUAUGCGGUAACAUUUUUAUAUGUUUUAAAUACAUACCUCAAAGCCUGUUAGAAGGCUCGUACAGGUUUCUGUCAGCCCGCUCUUGGCGGACUGAACCUUCUGAAUCACCGUGCGGUGCGGUGCUCCUCGUCGAUGGAGGCGCCGUUAAGCACCUCCAGCAAAUUGUCUGGCGCCUCUGGUUGGACGGAGGCAACCGGCGUUGUAGGCUUGCCCUUCUUGAGAAGAGGUCGCCUGCCGGACUCCGGAACCACUGAAGGUUCCGGAGCGGUGUCCAGCCCAGGGCCGGACUUAGAUCCCUUUGGGGCUUCAUCCCCUUUGGGCCUAGAGUCCGGGAGGUCGCCUUGCGGCACCUCCAAGACCACCUCGUCCUGGUUUAGUCCCUUUUGGGACUCCACCUCGGCAUCGUUCGUAGGGCAAGGGGAGGAGGCCGCCGGGAGUGGAGCGCUAUUCACAUCCGACGAAUCCAGGGAGCCGCUCGACGAAUCGCCGAGCUGAGCCUUGGGCGGACUGCUUGAUUGAAUUCGGUGUCAGAAGGUACUGUACAAUAGAGGAACACCAUAAGUUUUUCUGGUAUCCGGAUACUUACGAUUUUGCCAGGGGCUUGACCCUGGAUGGCCAUUCCUUUCCGCCGUCGUCGGUGUCGGAGGCGUAGUCCGGAAGAAGGGUCUUCCCCUUCUUGGACCCUCCGGCCUCCCCAGUUGGGGAGGCCUUCCUUUUCUUUCCCCCCCCCCCCCCCGCUGGAGGGGGAGAGGCUUCUUCUUCCUCCUCAUCGUCUUCGGAGGCGGAGGGCGUCUCGGGGUCGUCAGGCGAUGAGUCCGACACCGCCAGGCGUCGGGAACUCUUUCGAGUCCCCGUGGCCUUCUUCUUGGNNNNNNNNNNNNNNNNNNNNNNNNNNNNNNNNNNNNNNNNNNNNNNNNNNNNNNNNNNNNNNNNNNNNNNNNNNNNNNNNGCCAGGGGCUUGACCCUGGAUGGCCAUUCCUUUCCGCCGUCGUCGGUGUCGGAGGCGUAGUCCGGAAGAAGGGUCUUCCCCUUCUUGGACCCUCCGGCCUCCCCAGUUGGGGAGGCCUUCCUUUUCUUUCCUCCCCCCCCCCCCGCUGGAGGGGGAGAGGCUUCUUCUUCCUCCUCAUCGUCUUCGGAGGCGGAGGGCGUCUCGGGGUCGUCAGGCGAUGAGUCCGACACCGCCAGGCGUCGGGAACUCUUUCGAGUCCCCGUGGCCUUCUUCUUGGCCUUCUUCUCCGGCACCACGUGGGGUGCCGGAACCAGCAGCUUUUUCAAACAGGCGUCCGCUGGGUCUUCGGGCAAAGGAGCCGGACAAUUGAUCUGUCCGGCCUUCUUCUGCCAGUCCUUUUAAAGGGAUGGGAGUUUAGAUCCCACAUAUAGUCAAACUAUGGAAAACAAAUACCCCGUGAUGGGUAAAUUGAGCUUACCGCGCUGGCUUGACGCUUCGUGCAGAAUCUGCGAUCCUCGGUAAUGGGAGGGUGAACCUCAAAGAUCUUGAAAAGCACCUUCCAGGCAUCUUCGUGCAUUGUGUCGAAGAGCUUGGACAAAGUUUGGUGCUGGGCCGGGUCGAAUUCCCACAGAUUAAAAGCCCGUUGUUGACACGGGAGGAUCCGGCGGAAGAGCAUGACCUGGACUACGGUGAUGAGUUUAACCUUCCUGUCGAUCAGGUCUUUGACGCAGGUUUGAAGUCCGGUCACCUCUACUGAAUUACCCCACGACAGGACCGUCUCUUCCCAUGAGGUGAGCCGUGUGGGGAUGCCAGAUCGGAAUUCGUGGGCCGCUGCCCAUUCAGGGUCACGCGGCUUGGUGAUGUAGAACCACCCCGAUUGCCACCCUUUGAUGGUUUCCACGAAGGCGCCCUCGAGCCAUGUGACAUUGGCUAUCUUGCCCACCAUGGCGCCUCCGCACUCUGCUUGUCGCCCGCCCACAACCUUCGGCUUGACAUUGAAGGUCUUCAGCCAUAAGCCGAAGUGGGGCUGGACGCGGAGGAAGACCUCACACACGACGAUGAACGCCGAGAUGUUGAGGAUGAAGUUCGGGGCCAGAUCGUGGAAGUCCAUGCCAUAGUAGAACAUGAGCCCCCGGACAAACGGGUGAAGAGGAAAGCCCAAUCCGCCAAGGAAAUGGGGGAGGAACACGACCCUCUCAUGGGGCCUAGGGGUGGGGGUGAGUUGCCCCUCAUCUGGAAGCCGGUGCGCGAUGUCGUUAGACAAGUAUCCGGCCUUCCUCAACUUUUUGAUGUGCCCCUCCGUGACGGUGGAGGCCAUCCAUUUACCUCCCGCUCUGGACAUGGUUGGAGAAGGUUGAGGUGGGAAGUGCGGACUGGGGCACUGGAGCUCGAGUGCGCAGGAAUGGAUAAGCAAAGGAGGAAGAAGGCAUAGAUGGAAAGGGUGGAUCCUUAUCCCCUUAUAUGGGCGGCCGAAACUAUGAGCCCCCACCAGCCUAAUAAAACUUGCUUAUCUCCCAAGCGCCGCGGUUAAUGGCGCGGUUGGGUUACCCACGCCCGUAUUGAUGAGAAUCCUGGAAUAAGGGGACACGAUCUCUGCUUUGACAAGACGUGCCAAGGAAACCGCCUCACUAAACACGCUGAGGUGGGACAGUAAAACGAUUCAAAUAAAGGUUUGGCUGUGGCAUGACAUCAUGCUACGGAGUACGUCAGCAGAUUGGAUUUGUGCAGAUAUUAUUCUCUCUACGGUGGUAUGUGGAACUUAUUUUGCAGAGCCGGACACUAUCCUUGUGUUCAACAUCUUCUAUGAGGUAUUCGGAGGAGUAACCCGCCUUGCAAUGCCGAAGACAAAUUUGCGCGUCGGACUCGUCGUCAUUGAAGCAUGGUUCAGGGGCUACUGAGGGAGUCCUGGAUUAGGGGGUGUCCGGAUGGCCGGACUAUGACCUUUGGCCGGACUCCCGGACUAUGAAGAUACAAGAUUGAAGACUUCGUCCCGUGUCCGGAUAGGACUUUCCUUGGCGUGUAAGGCAAGCUUGGCGAUAUGAUAUGUAGAUCUCCUCCCAUUGUAACCGACUCUGUGUAACCCUAGCCCUCUCUGGUGUCUAUAUAAACCGGAGAGUUUUAGUCCAUAGGACGAACAACAAUCAUACCAUAGGCUAGCUUCUAGGGUUUAGCCUCUCUGAUCUCGUGGUAGAUCAACUCUUGUACUACCCAUAUCAUCAAUAUUAAUCAAGCAGGAGUAGGGUUUUACCUCCAUCUAGAGGGCCCGAACCUGGGUAAAAACAUCGUGUCCCUUGUCUCCUGUUACCAUCCGCCUAGACGCACAGUUCGGGACCCCCUACCCGAGAUCCGCCGGUUUUGACACCGACAGUCAUGCUAGUGGAUAAUUAUGGAAUAGAGAAAUACUUUUGUUGAGGUUGGCAAGUCCCGUAGCAUGCACGUAUAGUAAAAGUUGUGUGACAAAUUUGUUGCAUGAGGUGCUCUUUUGAUUGUCUUCCUUAUGAGUGGAAGUCGGGGACGAGCGAUGGUUUUUCCUACCAAUCUAUCCCUCUUGGGGCAUGCGUAGUAGUACUUUGCUUCGAGGGCUAAGUAAACUUUUGCAAUAAGUAUAUGAGUUCUUUAUGACUAAUGUGAGUCCAUGGAUAUAUGCACACUCAUCCUUCCACUUUGCUAGCCUCUCUUAUUACCGCGCAACUCUCGCCGGUAUUGAAUCCAUUAUUUACCUUCCUCAAAACAGCCACCAUAUCUACCUAUAUGGCAUUUCCAUAGCCAUUCCGAGAUAUAUUUCCAUGCAACUUUCCACCAUUCCGUUUAUUAUGACACGUUUCAUCAUUGUUAUAUUGCUCUUUGCAUGAUCAUGUAGUUGACAUCGUAUUUGUGGCAAGUCCACCUUCAUAAUUUUCAUACAUGUCGCUCUUGAUUCAUUGCAUAUCCCGGUACACCGCCGGAGGCAUUCAUAUAGAGUCAUAUCUUGUUCUAGCUUUGAGUUGUAAUUCUUGAGUUGUAAAUCGAUAAAAGUGUGAUGAUCUUCAUUAUUAGAGCAUUGUCUCAGUGAGGAAAUGAUGAUGAAGACUAUGAUUCCCCCACAAGUCGGGAUGAGACUUCGGACUUUACAAAAAGAAAAAAAAGAAAAAAGGAAAAAAAGAGAAAGGCCAAAAAGAAAAAGAAAAGAGGCCAAAGAAAAAAAAUAAAGAAGGAAAGAAAAAAAAAGAAGAAGAAAAAAAGAAAAAAAUGAGAGAAAAAGAGAGAAGGGACAAUGCUACUAUCUCUUUUUCCACACUUGUGCUUCAAAAUAGCAACAAGAUCUUCAUGAUAGAGAGUCUCUUAUGUUGUCACUUUCAUAUACUAGUGGGAAUUUUUCAUUAUAGAACUUGGCUUGUAUAUUCCAAUGAUGGGCUUCCUCAAAAUGCCCUAUGUCUUCGUGAGCAAGCGAGUUGGAUGCACACACAGUUAGUUCUUUUUGUUGAGCCUUCAUAUAUUUAUAGCUCUAGUGCAUCCGUUGCAUGGCAAUCCCUACUCACUCACAUUGAUAUCUAUUGAUGGGCAUCUCCAUAGCCCGUUGAUACGCCUAGUCAAUGUGAGACUAUCUUCUCCCUCUUUUUUGUCCUCACAACCACCAUUUUUACCACCUAAGUGCUAUGUCCAUGGCUUACGCUCAUGUAUUGCGUAAAAGUUGAGAAAGCUAAAGCGCGUUAAAAAGUAUGAAACAAAUUCCUCGGCUCGUCAUCGGGGUUGUGCAUGAUGGGAGUAUUUUGUGUAAUGAAAACGAAGCAUGGCCCAACUAUAUGAUUUUGUAGGGAUAAGCUUUCUUUGGCUAUGCUAUUUUGAUAGGAGAUGAUUAUUUGUUAGUAUGCUUUGAAGCAUUAUUAUUUUUACAUUUUAUAAGCUUUUAUCUUGAAUCAUUUGGAUCUAAACCUUCAUGCUACAAUAAAGAAAAUUACACUGAGAAUUAUGCUAGGUAGCAUUCCACAUCAAAAAUUCUGUUCUUAUCAUUUACCUACUUGAGGACGAGCAGGAAUUAAGCUUGGGGAUGCUUGAUACGUCUCCAACGUAUCUAUAAUUUUUGAUUGUUCCAUGCUAUUAUAUUACCCCUUUUGGAUGUUUAUGGGCUUUAUUUUACACAUUAUUAUCAUUUUUGGGACUAACCUACUAACCGGAGGCCCAACCCGUAUUGCUGUUUUUUUUUGCCUAUUUCAGUAUUUCAAAGAAAAGGAAUAUCAAACGAAGUCCAAAUGCAAUGAAACCUUCGGAAGCAUGAUUUUUGGAAUGAACGUGAUCUAGAGGACUUGGAGUGCAAGUCAAGAAGCAGCCGAGGCGGCCACGAGAGGGUAGGGUGCCCCCCCUAUGGGGUGCGCCCCCUGUCUCGUGGGCCCCUCGGGUGGCCACCGACGUACUUCUUCCUCCUAUAUAAGCCUACAUACCCCAAAAACAUCCAGAGAGCACCCGAAACACAAUUUCCACCGCCGUAACCUUCUGUAUCCGCGAGAUCCCAUCUUGGAGCCUUCGCUGGCGCUCUGCAGGAGGGGGAAUCGACCAUAUAGGGCUUCUACAUCAACACCAUAGCCCUUCUGGUGAGUUGUGAGUAGUUUACCACAGACCUUUGGGUCCAUAGUUAUUAGCUAGAUGGCUUCUUCUCUCUUUUUGGAUCUCAAUACAAUGUUCUCCCCCUCUCUUGUGGAGAUCUAUUCGAUGUAAUCUCUUUUUGCGGUAUGCUUGUCGAGAUCCAAUGAAUUGUGGGUUUAUGAUCAAGUUUAUCUAUGAGAAAUAUUUGAAUCUCCUCUGAAUUCUUUUAUGUAUGAUUGAGUUAUCUUUGCAAGUCUCUUUGAAUUAUCAGUUUGGUUUGGCCUACUAGGUUGAUCUUUCUUGCCAUGGGAGAAGUGCUUAGCUUUGGGUUCAAUCUUGCAGUGUCCUUACCCAGUGACAGAAAGGGUUGCAAGGCAUGUAUUGUAUUGUUGCCAUCGAGGAUAAAAAGAUGGGGUUUAUAUCAUAUUGCAUCAGUUAUCCCUCUACAUCAUGUAAUCUUGCUUAAUGUGUUACUUUGUUCUUUGUGAACUUAAUACUCUAGAUGCAGGCAGGAGUCGGUCGAUGUGUGGAGUAAUAGUAGUAGAUGCAGGCAGGAGUCGGUCUACUUGUUGCAGACAUGAUGCCUAUAUACAUGAUCAAGCCUAGAUAAUCUCAUAACUAUUCACUUUUCUAUCAAUUGCUCGACAGUAAUUUGUUCACCCACCGUAAUACUUAUGCUAUCUUGAGAGAAGCCUCUAGUGAAACCUAUGGCCCCCGGGUCUAUCUCUUAUCAUAUUUUCUUCCAAUCUACUUUUAUUUGCAUCUUUACUUUUUGCAUCUGUAUUAUAAAAUACCAAAAAUAUAUUUAUCUUAUCAUACUAUCUCUAUUAGAUCUCACUUUCGCAAGUGGCCGUGAAGGGAUUGACAACCCCUUUAUCGUGUUGGUUGCGAGUUCUUGGUUUGUUUGUGUAGGUGCAUGUGACUUUUGAGGAGCCUCCUACUGGAUUGAUACCUUGGUUCUCAAAAACUGAGGGAAAUACUUACGCUACUAUUGCUGCAUCACCCUUUUCUCUUCAAGGAAAACCAACGCAAACUCAAGACGUAGCAAUGGCUCCGAUGACCGAAUGGAGGACGGAGCCUUAACUGUUGCAAAUUUUUGUGUAAUAUAUCUAUCAUUUAAGCCUCUGCUGACUAGAUGCAUUAGUUAUUUUGUAUGUACAUAUAUUAACCAUUCUUUCUUCUUUUAGCCCUCUGGAUCGAGCCAAACUUCGGUAAGGAGACAAGGGCCGAAGAAAAGGUUGGGCCAGGAUGAAAGGUUCACAAUCGAAGUAGUCACUCGAGAUGGCCAACUGAUUGCUCCCAAGCUGACCAAGGACACAUUUAUACAUUAGUGCGGAGUUGUUGUUAGGGACAACGUCCCUAUCAGCAUCCAAGAGUGGAAUAAGUAGAAGGACCCUAAAGUUUCUUAUGUCUAGGAUAGACAGAAAGAUGAUCUUUGGAACUUGCUGAUGACAAACUUCAGCCUACCGCCAGAGGCGGAUCCGAAUAAGGGCAAGGAGUUUGCUCUUAAGAAGAUGGCAGAACUAUUCAAGAACUGGAAGAAAUAUUUUAAGAAAAAGUUUGUCGACAAAGGCAAGACUCCAGAAUUCACCAGUCAAUAUGAGAAGAUAAAAGAUCACUGGCCCGCAUUUGUGGCCUACAAGAAAUCGGAGAAGGCUCAGCAAAGGUCACAGAUAAAUAAACAAAAUGCUGCAAAGAAGAAGUAUCACUAUGUUACAGUGCCAGGUGGCUACAGCAAAGCCCGACCUGCAUGGGACAAAUCUGAGCAAGACCUGCUUGCUAAAGGGGUCCAACUAGCGACAUUGAACUAGCAAAAUUGGGCAAGGACUUGGUUCUUCGGGGUUGGGGGAACUUUGGACCCAGAAUCAGGGAAGUGUGUUUUCUCAAAAGCUCAACUUGCAAUACCCGUCAAAAAGCUUGAGGGCGCAAUCACAGGAAGCACAGGAAGGGAGGUUCCAUCCCAACUGAGAGAAGGACGAGCUGUCCAAGGCCCUCGGGUAUCCUGAACACCUUGGAUGAAUCUGAACGUUGCAUCUGCGAAAAUAGCAUCAAGUCCUCAAGGUUCGGUGGUCUCACCAUUAUGAAAUUGAAGCAACAUGGGAUCGUGAAAAUUGUCUCCAAUCUGAGUAACCCAAUCUCUUCACUUCGUAGAAUCUCAGGGCGAAAUUCCUCUGAGGGGGUUGAUUGUAAGACCCUAGAGUAAUGACAUAUUUAUUUUUGCUUCCUCCAAGGGGGAUCGGACCCUGCAUUCGAGGUCCGACAAUACUGUAUAGACAAUAACUGGUGGAUAUCAGAUUAUCCGGUAUUGGGUGGAUUAUCCCGCCUCAUAAAUUUGGAACCAUCCAUUUUUCACAAGAGUUACCGUACAUGUGCAACCCAGCCCAAAAACAACCCAUAAAGUUUUAAGUUAAUACCCUAUUUGGGAUUGCCCUGCUCAAAAAUAUACAAGCCAAAUGGAGUAGCUCCAUGUUGUCCCACUCCACAAAUUAGAAUCUGGGGGUACAACUCCAUGUUUUUUGUGAAGUCUCUUUAGGAGGUGCUCCAAACUCUAGUUGUUUUUCAUGGAAUUGGAAGAAAAUUACCCAUCGCUGCCACUAGUAAGUGGACACCCAUUAAUUUUCUUUCUUCACAUCACGCAAUCCCUCCUAUACAUUCCCAUAGUUUUUUUCUCAUUAUUGAAGCAGGAGCGAGCUGGAAGUCAAACAUGAUAAACUGCUCUACGAUGAAGCUUCAACUCCUAGGUGGAACCGCCCCAAAGUGGAUUUGGAUAAGUGGAGCUGAUUUUGGUGGAGUGGCGCACUACAAAACAUGACCUUCUCUCCACAACCUUAAUUCACACACACAACCACCCAUCUAACUAACCAAAGCAACGAUCACAUUCACACGACGGCACUCACCAACCAACUCUCCCAUUUCCCGGCCACCGCCCCCGCACGAGCUCGACGGUGUACACACGCAACCUCUCCACUCGUCUUCUAUCGCCACCUCUCUCUCUCUCUAUGUCUCUCUCUCCCCCCUCUCUCUCUCUACUUCUCCUCUCAUGUAUCGUUGUCGCCCGCUGUCACUGUUGCCUGCCAGUCUCCCUUCACCAUCAACAACAAGUAUAUGAAGUUGAUGAUUUGGGACAUGGUUCAAUCUUAGUUUAUAGUUCGAUUACAUCAUCUUCAUGAUGUCCUAAUUUUAUCUUUAUGCGAUGGGUCAUGCUGCCAUUUCUGUUAAUGCCAUAAUGGAGUGUCCAUUCUUUGUUUCCUCUAUACCGCUAAUGCCUAAGUAAGCAUGGAUUCCACACACCAAAAUAUUCCAUAACUAAUUAUCAAUGUACUCCUUGUUUUGCCUCUUGCCAUGUACGGACAAAUCAUCUUGGGAGUAGUGUAUAUUGGUCGUAAGAUCAUAGACAAUUAUAACUUUGCCUUUGUUUAAGUUCGAGUGUACAUUUAUGUUUUAUGGUGGUCAUAUACCUAAGAAGAAGAGGAAGAAAUAACUGGAUUGUAUAAUUUAUAUCGAUUCUUGAGCACAGACAUUUAGAAAAUGGCGGGUGGCAGCAUAACAAGUGUAUGUCUUACACAUGGCUUCAACUAUCAUCUCAUGCUUCAACAAUAGGUUAUGGUUCUCAACUUAUAAGUAAUGUUAUCUCUACUCUUAUAAAAAACCGAGUUGGUGAUGAUGGUGUGCCUACCAUCCUGCAAUAUAGACCGUCUGAUCUAUAUCUGAUGGAUAGAAAGCAAACUAUGGCAAUUUUGCAAAAAGAUACCCGCACCUCUCUCCACAUUUGCAUAUAAGGCCUUCCCUCGUUCAUCCUUAUCUCACAUAACCUCAUUGUUGAGCAAUUAAAAAAGGAAGCCUCUGGAACAAUCUGCCAUGGUGGCCGCUGACGACGUUGUGCAUCCCCAUGCCUCCGCUCAGUCCGACCACCUACCACCACCACGCCCCACUCCUCCUCACCUUAUCUCUCCUCUUUCUCGUAUCCCCCACUCCGCUCAGUCUGAGCUGUUGGGACACGGACGGCGCCAUCUACGUGCUUGUGGAGGUCAGUGCCAGGGAGGAUCUGCAUCAGCAGUGUACAUGCUGAGUUAAGUUAACCUGCAGAUGCCGUUAGUUUUUACACAUAAGAUUACUCCCUCAUGGGUCAAUCACAACACAUUUUUUGUAAAAUAAAUGCAUCUUGGUGUUCCGUGCAAUGCACGGGCAUCUUGCUAGUAUAUGUUGAAGAUCUAGAGGAUGACCAAAAGGGAAGAUGCAGAAGCUGAUGUGUUCUACCGAGUGGUCGGGAAGCCAGAAAAUUUUUAUUAGCAUGUACACUUAAGCCUGUUGGAGUAUCCACAUACUAAGAACCUUUUAUUCGUGUUGUGCUAUCGAGGCAAUGUUCUUUUCCAUGUAUUUUCUGAACUUUUUUGUCCACUUCCUGUAUGCCGUCACUCUGUUACAGUACCAUGACCAUUUCAGUUACAUUCUGAUGAUUUCAUAUUUGUUUCCACAUCCAUAAUGCUUCCGACUACAAAAUGAAUGUAUAGCAAAGGAUACAAUAUGACCAUUAUCCGUCUGAAUCAGAUCUUCUACGAUGGGGGGAAACAUGCCAUUUUCCCGAGGAACCUCUACAAUGCAUGCCAACAAUUCUCUAUAGCGACACCAAACCUAUGGGUGAAAUGUGUAUCGAAUAACAUCAACUGAUGAAGGGUCCAAUGAAAAUGUUGUCGAAGAGGAUGUCAUGAUCAUUCCUAGUGGCAUCUUAUUAUUGUCAAACGAUGUUCACUAGUAUUGAUAGAGGUGGGUAAAAGGACGGGGGAGUCAAGACAUGUUGUGUGACUAGCGCUGUCUACUAGCUACUCAUAGCAUAGUGUUUUCCCAGAAACUAUGGCAGGAGCAGCGUGUAGGCACACUCAAGCCGUCUACUAUACACCCUAUAGACAUGUAGCCUACAUGGUAUCACAAAGCUCUUUAGCUAAUUAAUUUUGAAUGGAAUUGACUAGAUGGUGCCCGUGCAACAGUCAACUCUUGUAAGCCUUCAUCCACAAAUCGAAAAGGCUGAAGCACAUGCUUUAGCCUUUUGUAAAGUGGAUAUCCCAAAUUCUUCGGUGUCGUGAUGUGUUGGUUGGUUGGCGCCAAGUCACAAGUUAGGGUUGAGAGAGAGAGAUAGAGAUAGAGAGAGGGAGAGGUAGGGAGAGAGAGAGAAGUUACCAUGGUUGUCUUCAUGUAAUAGAGAACUAUACGCAUGACAUGCUUGUAUGGUUAGAAAUUAAAUCUUGUUCCAUAGGGAAAUAGGAAGCGACAAAAUUAUCAUGGUUGUUGUGAUGUGUGAUAGAGAAAUGUAUCCAUGUCAUGCUGGAUUCGUUAGAAGUUAAAUCCCUUUCUGAAGAGAGAGAGAGAGAGAGAGAGAGAGAGAGAGAGAGAGAGGAAGCGGGGAACCUUUUCAUGCUUGUCUUGGUAUGAUAGAAAACUGUAUUGAUUUCAUGCUUUAUUUGCUAGAAACUAAAUGAAGCCCGAUACAUCCUCAUCCAUUAUUGUCAUUCUGCCAAUAAUUUAAAUAGGCAACUUACUACUUAGUAUUUAGUGUUUCUUAAGAAUCCAAGUACAUUCCUCAUUCCCAAACCUCUAACCUAUAGCCUAUAGCUUCCCAGCCACUAACUGCUAGUUGUGAGCCGCGUUGAGAUUUUUCCGAAGAGGAAGGGUGAAGCAAUAUAGUAGCGGAGAAGUAUUUCCCCCAGUGAGAACCAAGCUUAUGGAACCAAUAGGAUAACCAAGCCAAUCCUAGUGAGCAGUAACUACACACAGAAGAGCAAAUACUUGCACCCCACGUGGGCAAGAGGGCUGUCAAUUCCCUUGAACUCGUUACUUGCAAGGAUUAAAUCUGAUACUGAUAGAUAGAUAAAAGAAAAGUAAAUAAAUUGCAACAAGGUAUUUUUGGUUUUUGUAAUAUGAUUAAAGUAGACCCGUGGGCCAUAGUUUUAACUAGAGUCUUCUCUCUUGAAACAUAGCAUACAGUGGGUAGACAAAUUACUGUCGGGCAAUUGAUAGAAAAGCGCAUAGUUAUGACGAUAUUCAUGGCAAUGAUCUUGUAUAUAGGCAUCAUGUCCAUGACAAGUAGACCGACUCCUGUCUACAUCUACUAUUAUUACUUCAACGAUCGACCGACUCCUGCCUGCAUCUAUGUUAUUAAGUUCAUAACAAACAGAAUAACGCUUUAAGCAAGAUCCCAUGAUAUGGACAAAAUAAAACCAAACAAUAUGAUCAAACCCAGUCAUUUUACCCUUAAUGGCAACAAUACAAAUACGAGCCUCGCUACACCUUCUGUCACGUGGGGAGCACACUGUAAGAUUGAACCCACUACAAAGCACCUCUCCCACUGAAGAUAAAUCAAUCUAUUGGCCUAACCAAACAGUUGGAUCAGUGAGAAAUACAAAGCUAUAAAAACCAUGCAUAACAAAGUUUAGAAAAAACUCAAUUACUUUCAAUGAAAAAUAUAGUCAUAAACCCACAAUUCAUUGGAUCCCAACAAACACACCGCAGAAUGAUUACAUCGGAUAGAACUCCAUUGAGAUCAUGGAGAACAUUGUAUUGAAGAUCAAAGAAAGAGAAGAACCAUCUAGCUACUAGAUAUGGACCAAUAGAUCUAUGGUAAACUAUUUACACAUCAUCGGUAGGGCAGCAACAUUGAUGAAGAGGACCUCCGAGAUCGAUUCCCCCUCCGGCAGAGUACCGAAAAAGGCCUCCAGAUGGGAUCGUGGAGGAAUAGAGGCUCUCAGCGGCAAAAAAUUGUUUUGGGUGACUCUCUGUUGGUUUGGGGAUUUAUGGGAAUUUAUAGACGUGAAAUUAGGUCAAAAGGAGCUCCGUGGGGCCGAUAAGCUCAGGUGGCGCCCCCUGGGGGGGUGUGAGCUUGUGGCCCUCUCGUAGAUCUUCUAGCCUCCUCCAGAAGAUUCUAGGGUCCCUUCUGGUCCAGAAAUAAUUAUCGUAAAGUUUCAUCGUGUUUGGACUUUGUUUGGUACUGAUUUUAUGGAAAAUAAAAAAAUACAAAAAACAGGAACUAACACUUGGCAGUGAGUUAGUAGGUUGGUUCUCGAAAAUGAUAUAAAAUAGUAUAAUAAAGCAUAUAAAGCAUCCAACAUUGAUAGUAUAAUAGCAUGAAGCAAUAAAAAAAUAUAGAUACAUUGGAGAUGUAUCAGUAUGUAUAAGUAACACAGAACCCAAACAAUGCCGGCUAGCCCAUGGCUCCGAUGGUACCGAGGAACUGUGCCUGAUACUGCUGCGGCCUCUGUGACCUUGCAAAGAAGCACUACUAGAAUCAACAGAUUUGCCAUCUGCCCCCUCUUUGCCUUCAGCUAGCAGACGACAAAGAAUGGCUUCGCCAUCAGCCAACAGAAAGCAGACGGCAAAGAGGUAGUGGACGACAAAGAGGGUGUCUGCCAUCAGCCAACUCUUUGCCACCUGCUAGCUGAUGGUAGAGCUUCUUUGUCGUCCGCUAGCGGAUGGCAAAUAGGGGGUUUGGCCCAGUGGCUGUUAAACCCUAAUGAGCCCCGUCUUUGCCAUCUGCCAACGGAGGCGAAUCGUCCCUUGCCAUCAGCUAGCGGACGGCAAAGGAGAGGCGGACGACAAAUCUUAAAAAUAACAUAACGGGGCGCACCCUCGCCAUCACCCUCUCUCUUUCUCUCCUCUUUCCUUCGCUCCCGACAAGCACCGGCAACCGCCCCCACCCUGCCACCCCUCACCAUCGCCGCACCCUCGCUGCCUCCCAACCCCCCUCCCGAGUCUCCCUGCCGCUGCCUCCCUACCGCAGCUGCGAGUCGACUGCCCCCGGGGAGCGUCGCCCGUCGCCGCCCCCUCCCCGACCCGUCGGCGUCCCCCACGGUGAGCCCCCGCCACCCACUCCCCUGUUUUUUCUGUUAGGUUUAAUUAGUUUAGGUUAUUUAGUUAGUUUAGGUUUAAUUAGUUUAGGUCUUUUAGUUUAGUUAGUUUAUGUUAGUUAGUUUAAUGGUUAAUUAUCCUUUUCCCCUCAGUGGUGUCAUGUGCUCAGUUUUUCCCUCAAUUGUGAAUUGUGCUCAGUUUUGCCCCUAGUACAUGCGCAGCUACUAUGACGAGGCCUAACGGCCAGAUUCAGUCCACUGGCGUUAGUGGUAGUGGGUCUGGAGCUUACACAUGGGACCGAGUGGACAUGGGUUCGGAGCUGACAUGUGGGACCGUGCAAAAAAAAUCCCCAAAUCAAUCAUAGGGUUCUAAUAACCCGCCACUCGACGCGCCCACUCUGUCCCGUUCGCCGGCUGGCCGGCCUACGCCAUCGUCGCCACCUGCGCUGCCACCAGCUGCGCUGCCGCGGCCGCGGCCGCGGCCGUCCCGCUCCACCGCUAGCUACACUGCCCGCCACCUUCCUGUGACGCCAUGGGUGGGGCGCCCGCUAAGGGAGUCCUGUAUUAGGGGGUCCUCGGACAGCCGGACUAUAUACUUUGGCCGGACUGUAGGACUAUGAAGAUACAGGAUUGAAGACUUCAUCCCAUGUCCGGGUGGGACUCUCCUUGGCGUGGAAGGCAAGCUUGGCAAUUCGGAUAUGUAGAUCUCCUUCUCUGUAACCGAUUGUGUGUAACCCUAGCCCCCUCCGGUGUCUAUAUAAACCGGAGGGUUUAGUCCGUAGGACAACAACAAUCAUAAUCAUAGGCUAGCUCCUAGGGUUUAGCCUCUACGAUCUCGUGAUAGAUCAACUCUUGUAAUACUCAUAUCAUCAAGAUCAAUCAAGAAGGAAGUAGGGUAUUACCUCCAUCGAGAGGGCCCGAACCUGGGUAAACAUUAUGUCCCCCGCCUCCUGUUACCAUUAGCCUUAGACGCACAGUUCGGGACCCCCUACUCGAGAUCCGCUGGUUUUGACACCGACACCCGCCACCUGCUCGACCGGCGGCGCAGUCUCCUUCCGUGUGCCCGGUCGGAGCGUUGAUAGGUGGGGAGCUGGUGGAGCUGUUUGAAGCAUGAGGGUGAACCCCAGGGCGAAAUGGCGAGCAGCGGCGACCCCGAAGUAUUUGGCGAGGCAGACAUCAUCGGGCUGGAGAUCCACCGCGUCCACGACUGGGUUCCCGAGGGGUAAGUCACGCCUCCCAUUUAGAUUGAGCUUAGUUGUGCAUUUGAGCAGUCGAUUCGAGUUGGUUUGCCCGAUUAGUGUGCUAAUUGCGUCUCUGUUUUUUGUCGGUUGGGAUGGAGUUGCGGUUUGCUUUCUUGGUGCACAUUAGAAGGGACAGGUACAUGUUGAAUGCAAAAAAUAUGAAGAAAUUUCAAGGAGGUUUCGAUUAUCGGUUGCCAAUGGCUUGUAACUGGAGUUUCAGACAAUUUGGGGAGGUAAUUUGUAGCCAAUAUCUUUGGGAUUUGCUUGAUGAAGUGGAAUACAAAUACUAUGAUGGGGAAAAGAAAUGGGUGACAAUUAGUAAUGAUGAAGAGCUGGUAUCAUGUUUGCUAGGCAUAAGGAGAAAGAUAAUUUUCAUGUGAGGCUGCAAAUUGAUGUGAUUGAGAAGGCAUUUGGACCUAGGAUGGCUGGAGCAACAUCUCGGGGAGAUCCAAGUCGUCGUAAUGACAGCUCUAGCUAGAAUAGUUCAGUUGGUGCACGGCGACGUGGUGGCUCAACAAGCGUGGGCACCGGCAGUAGGGUCCCCCUUGAAGUGGAGCCUGAUUCCUACAAUUCUGGGGUUGAUGAAGAGAAGCUAUAUUCUGAUGUUAUUCAUAAUUUACGACAGGCACCUCGGGCUGAAAACCAAGAUGAGCCUCAGAAUGCAGUCCCUGUGGAUGAUGACACGAUGGGUGAGGAUGAAGACCUUGCAAUUGUUGAAUGGGACCCUUUGAACCAUCAUAUGAUAGAAGGUACCAAUUUUUGCAUCCAUGACUGAGUGUAGAAAUGCACUUGUGACAUACUGCAUCAAGGUACGUAGAACGUACUUUCAAAGUUGACAAGAGCGAUCAAGUACGUUACAUAGUGCACUGUCCGACUUAGGGUUGUCCAUGGAGGAUGCUCGCAUCUAAAAUGCGAAAUAGCACGAAUGUUCAGGUCAAAGUGAACCCUUUUAAGCACACAUGCCAGGAAUCAACCCUUAGGAAGGAUACAAUCAAAAGAGGCAAGUCAAGAUGGGUGGUAGAAGAAGUAAAGAAGUUGGUGAAAGAAAACCAACAAGUGGGUCCAAAGGAAUUGCAGAAAAACAUCAAAGACAAGUUCAAGAUAGAUUUACCAUACAUGAGGUUGUUCAAUGGUAAACAACACGCUAUGGAUUCUAUUUAUGGUAGCUGGAAGGAAAGUUUUCAAUUGUUGUAUGCAUUCAAAGGUGAAGUGGAGAGGGCCAGCCCAGGUAGUAUUGUAGAUAUUGACCACCACACCGUGGAGUACACAUUCAGGGAAGUGACAAAGACCAAGGAAUGCUUUAGAAGGGUUUUUGUCUGCUUUGAGGUUGUCAUCGGGGUUUUUUGGCAGGCUGCAGGCCUUAUUUGGCUAUUGAUGCUACUUUUCUCACAAGGAGGUUUAAAGGAUAGUUAGUAGCAGCUUGUGCAAUUGAUGCACACAGUUUUGUAUUUCCAGUUGCGUAUGGUGUGCUGGAGACAGAGUCUGAGGAGAGCUGGACUUGGUUUUUGCAUAAUCUGCGCCGGGCUAUUGCACAUCCCAAUGGGUUAGUAAUUCAUACAGAUGCCUAUAAGGUUUAGAAGUGGUCGUGGACAAUGGUAUCCCUGGAGUAGAGCAUAGGGAAUGCAUGUGUCACCUUGCUGCAAAUUUUGUGAAGAAAUUCAAAGGAAAGGUGUAUACCGACUAUUUACGGCCAGCAUCUUUUGUUGGGGAACGUAGUAAUUUCAAAAAAUUUCCCACGCACACGCAGUAUCAUGGUGAUGCAUAGCAACGAGAGGGGAGAGUGUAGUCCACGUAACCUCGUAGACCGUAAGUGGAAGCGUUAUGACAACGCGGUUGAUGUAGUCGUACGUCUUCACAAUCCGACCGAUCCAAGCACCGAACGUACGGCACCUCCGAGUUCAGCACACGUUCAGCUCGAUGACGACCCCGGACUCCGAUCUAGCAGGGUGUCGGGGAUGAGUUCCAUCAGCACGACGGCGUGGUGACGAUGAUGAUGUUCUACCGACGCAGGGCUUCGCCUAAACACCGCAACGAUAUGACCGAGGUGGAAUAUGGUGGAGGGGGGCACCGCACACGGCUAAAGAACGAUCACAAAGAUCAACUUGUAUGUCUAGAGGUGCCCCCUUGCCCCCGUAUAUAAAGGAGCCAAGAGGGAGGGGGCGGCCGGCCAAGGAGGGCGCGCCAAGGAGGAGUCCUACUCCCACCGGGAGUAGGAUUCCCCCCCUUCCAAGUAGUAGGAGUAGGAGUGAAGGAAAGGGGGAAGAGAAGAGAAGGAAGGAGGGGGCACAACCCCUACCCCUAGUCCAAUUCGGACUAGGCCUGGGGGGGGGGCGCCCAGUCUCUCCUCUCUCUUUCCCCUAAAGCCCAAUAAGGCCCAUAUACUCCCCGGCGAAUUCCCGUAACUCUCCGGUACUCCGAAAAAUACCCGAAUCACUCGGAACCUUUCCGAACUCCGAAUAUAGUCGUCCAAUUAAUCGAUCUUUACGUCUCGACCAUUUCGAGACUCCUCGUCAUGUCCCCGAUCUCAUCCGGGACUCCUAACUCCUUCGGUACAUCAAAACUCAUAAACUCAUAAUAUAACUGUCAUCAAAACCUUAAGCGUGCGGACCCUUCGGGUUCGAGAACUAUGUAGACAUGACCGAGACACGUCUCCGGUCAAUAACCAAUAGCGGAACCUGGAUGCUCAUAUUGGCUCCCACAUAUUCUACGAAGAUCUUUAUCGGUCAGAUCGCAUAACAACAUACGUUGUUCCCUUUGUCAUCGGUAUGUUACUUGCCCGAGAUUCGAUCGUUGGUAUCCAAUACCUAGUUCAAUCUCGUUACCGGAAAGUCUCUUUACUCAUUACGUAAUGCAUCAUUCCGUAACUAACUCAUUAGCUACAUUGCUUGCAAGGCUUAUAGUGAUGUGCAUUACCGAGAGGGCCCAGAGAUACCUCUCCGACAAUCGGAGUGACAAAUCCUAAUCUCGAAAUACGCCAACCCAACAUGUACCUUUGGAGACACCUGUAGAGCUCCUUUAUAAUCACCCAGUUACGUUGUGACGUUUGGUAGCACACAAAGUGUUCCUCCGGUAAACGGGAGUUGCAUAAUCUCAUAGUCAUAGGAACAUGUAUAAGUCAUGAAGAAAGCAAUAGCAACAUACUAAACAAUCAAGUGCUAGGCUAACGGAAUGGGUCAAGUCAAUCACAUCAUUCUCCUAAUGAUGUGAUCCCGUUAAUCAAAUGACAACUCUUUUGUCCAUGGCUAGGAAACUUAACCAUCUUUGAUUCACGAGCUAGUCAAGUAGAGGCAUACUAGUGACACUAUGUUUGUCUAUGUAUUCACACAUGUAUUAUGUUUCCGGUUAAUACAAUUCUAGCAUGAAUAAUAAAAAUUUAUCAUGAAAUAAGGAAAUAAAUAAUAACUUUAUUAUUGCCUCUAGGGCAUAUUUCCUUCAUCUUUGACUUGCAGUGUGAAGAAGCACAACUACCACUUGAGGCAGUUAUACAUGAAUCCCAAAGUGAAAGAAUACUUGGAAACACACCACUCCAAAUUAUGGGCCAGAAGCCAAUUCAGUGAACUGAGCAAAGUUUACUAUAUGCACAAUAAUCUAGCAGAGUCUUUCAACUCAAUGACCCGGAAAUUAAAGGGUCAUUAUGUGGUGGAUUUGCUUGACACGAUAAGGAUAGAAUACAUGCAGAAAUUUCAUUAUCGUGCAGGAAUAGCUGAGGCAAAAUUCAUGUGCCACAUCAUCAUCCCUGCCGUGAUGAAUGAAUUGAAGCAGAAAACAACAGGCUUGGAAAUGAACAUGACUCUUUGCUCGGGUACCACAGCAGAGAUAUCAUAUUUGGAUAAAGAGAAGUGGGAAUGGAGAUAUCUAUUGGAUUUAGAAGCUAGAACUUGCAGUUGUAGGAAAUGGGAGAUAACUGGGUUGCCAUGCAUUAAUGCCUUGUUGUUCAUAACUUCUCUCUCAGGUCCAGCAGGGAACAUACAACAGUAUGUGCAUGAUUACUACUCUGAUGCAAGGUUCAAAGCCACAUAUGCGUAUGCCUUGCCCUCUAUGGAGGGAAAACAACAAUGGGACAUGGUAGACCCUGGAUUCAAGCUUUGCGCUCCAGUUCUGAAGAGAGCAGCAGGUAGACCAAGGAAGAGUCGAAUCAGACCUCGCAGUGAAGGAUCUGGACUAGGAGCGAGGAAGCGUAAGUGCACAAGGUGUGGUGGGUCUGGUCAUUUCGGUAAGUGUUGUGAUAACACAGUAGAUCCAGCGUUCGGAGAGAGUUUCGAUGAAGGCUUCGAUGAAAAUGUUGGUCAGCAGCCGGUUGCCUCAACAGAUGAUGAAAAUGAUGAUCAACAGCCAGUUGCAUUAGAUGAGGAUUUUGACGAGGUUCUAAAUGAUGAUGAUCAACAACCGCAUGAUUUUGACGAUGAUCUAAAAUAUCCUCCAAAUGAUGUUUCAAGUGAGGCUCCAAAUGGUGUUUCAAGUAAGGCUCCAAAUGGUAUCCAAAUGAGGCUCCAAAUGGUGAUCCAAAUGAGCCUCCAAAUGGCAAUGGUGAUCCAAGUGAGGCUCCAAAUGGUGACCAACCUUCUGUUGUUGUGAGUUCUGUUAGGUAUGUAAAUCUUGCAAAUACUAUUGUACAUUUAUCACUUGACAUUAUCUCAUUACCCUUUAUGUUUUGCACAGCUCUGCGGUAGGUUUGCAGGAGAUGCGCAAGGUACCGACAACCAAGAGGAGAAGAGAAGAAGCAGUGAGCACAAGGUGCAUGAGGAGCAAAGUGAUGCCAAGAAGCUCAAGGAACAGACAGAAGCGCCAACGCUAUUUAUGAAUAAUUAUGAAACAUUAUGAAGAAUGUUGUAUUUAUGUUGAAUGAUGUUGGACCUAUGUUAGAACUUCAAAUUUGACAUGCUAUAUGGCUGUUGUAAUUCUUUCGAAACUUUGGUAAACUCACAUUCAUGAAAAAUGUGCUAAAAAAGAGGUCCAAAGGUAGGGUAAACGGCCUCAUUUCUAAGCAAGAUUAUUUUAACCUUGUCUAGAUGAUCCAAAUAACUUUCCUACACAUAUUACUGAACAGUAAAACUCAGCUAACUACGCCUUCUCACAGCGAUUUGACAUCCUCGACCCUCCGAUCAAACUUAUUGAGAGUCCAGAUUAAUUACCCCAGCGUCCCGUGGUACCUUUUUUGCUCCGUCACAGCGCGUUCACCGGACGGCCCAACAUAACCGGGCCGCUACUCCGCAAACCGACCUGGGCGCGUUGUUGUUAAUCGGGCUGACAUCCUAUGUGGGCUGCGAGUUUGUUGCGAGAGGAUGACUCACCAAAGCUUCUCAUCCCCGUGCGGCCGGCGGCGGUGUAGGCCAUGGCGAGGGAGCUAAUGGUUCUAACGCAUCUACCCUUUUCGCCUCCCUUCGCAUAACCUUCCUGACGAUGCAGAUCGGUGCCGCAUAGUACCUUCUUCCCUUCCAUGGCAGAGCCUGGAUGAGGGAAGAGAAGACGCCAAGGAGGCACCACCGCCCGAGAAAUUCUCAGCGAGCUCUGCCAGAUGCAAGGAAGGACAGCCAAAGAUGGUUCGCUUUCCAGUCCGAUCCUUCCAAAUCUCCUAAUUCUCUCCAAAAAAAGAAAAUCCCGCGCAGGCCACAUACAGGUAGUGGCAGCUUCUCGGUGCUCUAACGGUCUCGCCUCAUCCCGUGUAUUGAUGUUGAUCUCAUUUAUUAUAUUGUUGUACAAUAUUCGUGGAGCCGUGUGACAUCUCAAGGUCUAGGGUGCAUCCAAACAACUGGCUGCCUUGGUUUCAAUAAAUUCACCACGAUUAUGCAUGCACUUCUUGCUAUCAUACAUGUUCAUUGAUCAGCAUAUCCUACUCCACACCGAAAAAGAACGCAUACCCUACUCGAGGAAGGUCCAUGUUGCUUAGUGAGUAGUGACGCUUCUGUUGUGAUUGUCGGCCCAUCUCUCCGCCGCAAUGGAGGAAUGAGAUUACUCAAGACAACCAAAAGGUACAAAUGAUAGUGACAUGUUUCUACAAGUUAAGCAUUUGCUACAGAGGGUUGAUCCUGAUAUUGAUUGCAAAAACUGAACCCUGAAACAUCAACUUAUACCAUAGAGAAACAUAUGAAGCAAACCAUCUUGUCUGUUAAAGAUUUUCUGAGGCACAAGCAUCUUCAGCUGACCAUAGGUUCAGCUCUAAGGGAUGAAACAAGGUAGUGUGAAUUUUUUUCUUCUUUUGUAGGUGCCAAUAUUGGACCAGAGCCAAGAGCCAUCAGAUUUAUUGCUGUCAUGGUAUAUUUUAGUAGUCAUGGGUGUGUGUGUUCUUCGGAAGAUGUUUAUUUUAGAUGGCACUCUUAUAUUUUCUCUGUCUAGGUUCGUACUUAAUGUUCUCUUGUUUGGAUUCCAUGCUGCAGUUCAGUGAUCAUUGAACCCAGCUUAAAUUCAGCGGGGCCAUUGAUUUUUGUCAUUUUCUUUAGUCUGAACUACCACUUAGAGAUUCUGUUGCUUGUAUUCUUGUACGUGUGAAAGGAUGUCCACUACUGUUUUGGCAUUACAGAUCGAGGAUGAAGUCUAAGGUUGAGUAUAGCUGGCUUAACGUACGUGGCGACAUGAACCAUAUUGGCGUAUUUGCUAUACAAAUAUCUAUGCUGUCUCGAUUAUAUAAUUCUUUGGUGGAGUGUGCAAAUCAGUGUUUUAUUAUUUUAUACUCCCUCCGUUCCUAAAUACUUGUCUUUCUAGGCAUUUUAACAAGUGAUUACAUACGGAGCAAAGUGAGUGAAUCUACACUCUAAAAUAUGUCUACAUACAUCCGUAUAUAGUAGUCAUUUGAAAUGUCUAGAAAGACAAAUAUUUAGGAACGGAGGGAGUAUAUUUUAUUUAUGGAUUCGUUGCACCAAUCACCGCUAUGUAUUUUUUUUAUUGUUUUCUAACUUACCCCAAUCUUCUUGGUGGUACUCGUAUGUCAUUUGUCUCCACUUCUAAUUCACAGCCAACCUUUGAAUACAAUGUGACUUGACUCUAAUUCAUAGCCAAACAAAAAAAAGCGACUUAAUUGCAAUUUACAUACAAACUUUAAAUGUGGUACAACUUUUCAAGUUUUUGUGAAUUUCACCGUAUAUGUUUUCUUCCAUAUUUCUACAUGUUUUCUUAGAAAUAGGCGGGCGCGCUACGCGCGCCUUCAUGUUCUAGUAUUCUAUAUACACAAACUAUGUGCGUUGGUUUCUCCUUUUUUUUAAUAUUUUUGCUCUUUUGAAUUCUGGUCAAACCUAACUCUGACCAAGAUUUAAACAAGUCUAAAACAUCAAAAUGAAAAACUAAGUCUCGAUCCUUCUUAGUCACGCCAAAAUGAAGCUGUGGUGACGUUUUUGAAAUUUUCAUGAAAAAAAUGCUAAAAAAGAGGGGUCCAAAGGUAGGGUAAAUGGCCUGAUUUCUAAGCAAGGUUUCUUUCGACCUUGUGUAAAUUAGCCAAAUAACUUUCCUACACAUAUAUUCUAUAUAUACAGACUAUGUGCGCUGGUUUUUCCAUUUUUUUAUUUUUAAAAAAAAUUUGUUUUGCUCAUUUGAAUUAUGGUCAAACCUAACUUUGACCAAGAUUUAAACAAGUCUAAAACAUCAAAAUGAAAAACUAAGCCUAGAUCCUUCUUAGUCACUCCAAAAUGAAGUUGUGGUGAGUUUUUUGAAUUUUUCAUGUUUAUUUCCCCAAAACACUUCUCUUCAUUUCAUACAAGAGAGUUUGAGAUACUUGAGAUAUCACAUAAUACACGUGAACUUUUUGUUUAAAAGUAUGGAAACCUUGUUUAUCAACUUAAAUCAUUAGUAUAUGACAUAAGAAGACUAUGUGCGGAGGCUUUUCAUUUUUCUGAUUUUUAUUUAAUUUAUUAUGCUCAUUUGAAAUGUGGUCAAACCUAUGUUUGGCUGCUCCAAACCCCUCCCAAACCCCUCUAACCCUAGCACUGAACAGGGACCGUCCAUCUAAUCCUAGUGGUGAUGAAGGACCGUCGAUCUAACCCUUCUAGAAGGAAUCUGCUGGGAGGAGGGGGGCUGAUCCACGAGAUGCAAUCUGAUUGGCUGGGCGAUUUUUUUUCUCAACAUGUACCGGGCGCGCUGGAUGGACCGUUGGGCCGCCUCUUUAUCCGGGCCUAAGCGCAAUUAGUUGCCCAUUUUAGCCUUUCUAGGCCUGCAUGCUUGGGAAGGGCGGCGACGUGGGGAGGCGUACGUGUAUGCAUGCGAGCGAUGCGACCGAGGCGAGCGACGUGGCCAUGCACGUAUUGAUUCAGAAUUGCAUUGUUUCAGAUAAUGGUAGCGAGUCAGAUGCACACGCGCAGUCAAAGAGCUCCAUGCGGUGAUUCAGGUGCACGCACACGCGCCCCAUCCAUCGUUUCCGUGCCAAAAUUUAAGGGUCCAAAACUUAAAGGAUACACAUACGCGUCCGGAUUCACACACGCACCAUUCUCAUCCCUUGUUUCUUCAUCUCCCUCCCACAGGGAUAUAUAAAUGGGGUGCCUCUCUUCCUCUCCCACUCACCACCCGAAGGCCAUCCAUUCUCUCCAACUUCAAACACCCAAGUGACCGAGCCCUCCAAGCGACCACAAGUGAAGAUGUAGUACAAUGGGCCGACCUUCCGUCGUCCGCCUGUCAUGCCGGAGCUGCUCUACCCACUGUGCAUGCUCGUGGAGAGGGAGCUCCGUGUGUGGGCGACUUCAAGGUGGAGGGGGUCCGUCGACCUCACCCGCGCCUUCCUCAGAGCCGCCUAUGCCCCACUCCUACGGGGCUUGCGUAGGAUAUACACCAUCAACGAGGUUCGCGACCACGCAGGCAUCCUCCUACUGCUCACGGUCACCUUCACCAACCCGUUUGACGCGCGCGAGCUCCUCGGCCAAGUGUUUUGGUGCGGCUGCGAGUCCAUCUUCUUCACGGUGUAUAACAUCUUGACCAACUACGAGUGCAUCUUCCCCACUGAAAACCAGAUGCACUCCCUUCCCUACGACAAGGAGGAGGAGUGAAGUUGAAGACAGUGUUGAAGGGGCGCGCGGCCAAGGUGGAAGAAGGGUCAAGAUGAAUAUGUUCAAGAAGGGUGCGAGCCCGGAGUGAAGCUGUGCGUCAAGCUCAUCAUGUUUCAGUUUUAUCAUUUUUAUUUUGUUGCUUUUCUAUGUCGUGUGUGCCGUGUCGUGGCGUGUCGUGUCCCAGGACUAUGUAGGGUACCCAUCUAUGUAAGGGUACGGUGUGUUGCAUCUUAUGUAUCCAAAUUAUAAUGUGUGUUCAAAAAUGUCUUUGCCCAAACAUGCACAUUUCUUCCCUAAACCAAGUCAUGAACUAACAUGCACAUUUAUUCCUUUUAAAUCCUAAACCAGGUGCCACUCUAACCAGAAUCAUGUGGCAGUGCAAACAUGCGUUUCUAACCCUUCAAAAUUUCAGUUCAAAACAAAGGAAAACCACUCUCACGCGUGUGCAAACAUUCAGUACAAACAUGUGUUUUUAAACCCUAAACCAAGUCACAGUCUCACUAUGUAUUGCACACGUAGAACGAACGAUUCUGGUUCCUCGGUGUGUAAGAAACCCUCCUAUCAACGGCCGCCCGACACCGUGGACAGACAAAGAUAGGCAUCUCCACGCGUGCCGGGCUCUGCAUCCGCGAGGUGGCGCGGGAGCUUGAAGAAGACAUGGAGCCCGGAGCCGAAGGGGAUCUCAAUGCCGCCGCGCCCUCCACAGCUAUCUUCCCAUCGCCGCUCUCUCUAUCGCCAUGGUCACCGCUGUGCUGUGUGUCGCUCGUUCUCCCUGUCGCCUUGGUCAACGCGAGCCGCUCUCUAUCGCCCACUUAUACAGGACACCCACAAUGGUUCUCUGCUCAAUGACUCUUUGUUGGGUCCCACAAGCAACGCGUGCAACGGUCUGGUCGCCUAGAGCGUCUCCGCCGCCUGGUCCCACCUGUAAGGGCCGAGUCAAAUGUAUGACCUCACGGAGACAGCAGUUUUCACAGAAUGAGUUGGUGCGGGCACACUAGGGGCAAAACUAAGCACAAUUCACAACUGAGGGCAAAACUAAGCAAAUGGACACGAUUGAGGGCAAAAGGAUAAUUAACCCUUAGUUUAAUUAGUUAGGUUUAAUUAGUUCCGGUUUUCUAGUUUAGUUAGUUUAGGUUUAAUUAAUUUAGGUUAUUUAGUUUAAUUAGUUUAGGUAUUUUUUUGUUUUUUAAGAAUAAACAAGAAAGAUGAACAAAAGUAAAAGAAGAAGAAGAUGAAAAAAAAGAACAAUAACUAGAAGAAGAAGGAGAAGAAAAAGAAGAAGAAAGAAGAAGAUGAAAAAAAGAAGUAGAAUAAGAAGAUGAAAAAAGGUAGGAACAGUAGAAAAAAGAGGGUCGCCGAUGGUCGAGGGUUGCCGAGGGGCACCCACGACCCCGACACAGCAUCCCGACAGGACGCCACCGACACCCCGACGCCCAACAAGACACCCUGAGACCCCGACACGGCACCCUGACCCCGACACGCAGACCCCCACAUGACACCCCGAGACCCCGACACAACACCCUGACACCGCGACACCGACACAGCACCUCGACACCGACACAGCACCCCCGACCCCGACACGGAACCCCGACAUGACAUCAACGACACCCCGACACGACACCCCGAGACCCCGACACGACACGCCUGACCCUGAUAUUAAUUAGUUUAUGUUAUUAGGUAUUCAAUUUUUAUUAUGUUCAUGAUGAUGAUACACAAUUACUUUUUUUUAUGUUUAUGUUGUACUAAGUUCGUUUACUCUUUGUCAUUGCAGGUGUUCACAAAUGGUGGGCGGGUCGAGAGCGCUCCGGGCCUCCUUCCUCGGUAUGUGCUGGGAGGGGUCUUGUUAUUCCACCCCAGCACCUUCGGAGAGCGCUGGUAGACAGCAUGCAUACACCCCCAGCACCUUCGGCGGGCGCUUCUUCUUCGGUAGGGAGAGAUCGGGGGAAGACAAAGAGGGGUGCAGGUAGAGGUGGAUGUGGCAGCAGGAGAGGUAGGAAGGAUGAAGUGCCUUCCUCGCCGCCACCCCCCCCCCCUCGCUAAUUCUCCGGACCACCGGAGUGCUCCAUCUCAGGUGGACCCAUCUGACUUGGACCCGUCUCGGACUCUGGUCCACAAGCCUUGGGUCGACGUGCCUCAGGUCGUCGAGCCUAUGUCCGACGAGACUCGGGUCCCACAGUCUUCCUCCCAGGAGACUCGGUUCCCAGAGUCUUCGUCCCACGUGACUCCGGAGACUAGCGGCCAUGCUGAUGGUGUCGAGGAGACCUUUUUUGAUGAUAGCUACAGCGAGGGCGAGCUGGUUGAGGAGGGCAAGAAGGUCUACCAGCGUGGUGGUACAAAGCUCCCAUCCAUGCCGGCGACCCGCGACUAGAGGUGGUUGAUUGAGCCUAACGGGGAGAAGUAAGUGCAUUUACUCUUUUUUAACCUUUUGCCUUCAUGUUUCUUCAAAUUAAUACGUAAUGUGUUGGCCUUGUCAUACUGCAGGGGUUGGAUACACGCAGAUGGUGUCCGCGGGCCCAACCAGCUCCUUGGUGUGCUUUGCUGGCACCACUUCUCGGGGUGGGUCACAUUUCCCAGUGAGGGUGAGGUUCCACAGUUAGCUCUGACCUAGGAGAUGUACGAGGCUGCCCCGGCCCCGCUGGCUUCAGAACUUACGGCACGAGGCUCGGGUGCAGGCUGUUCGAGACUACUAUGUCUCGACUAAAAUCAGGAGGGAGAAGAAGAAGUGCCGCGGCAAGCAUCUGAGUAGGGAGAAGUACAUGAAGGUAAUUACCUAUUAUUAAGGCCUUGUACUUAGUUUCCUUGAUUUGAUUCGUAGGCGUAGCGCUGAAAUUUCUCUUUGUCUAACUUAGGUGCCCCCGAGAUGGUCUGCGGAUAGGAUGGAUUGUUGGGAGAGGUUGGUGGAUGAGUGGUGCUCUCCCCAAUGGCUAGCCGUCCACAACAAGGCCAAGGAUAAGCGUGCCCAAAUGGAAGGUGUGCCACACCAUCAAGGGAGCUUCAACCUGUUUGAGUACGGGGAUCACUGGGUAUGUGGUUCGAGCCCUUAACGAUUCAUUCAAUUUCAUUCUUCAUGCUAGCUUCAGCCCUUUAAUUACUAAUUUACCGCAUUCCUCUCUUUUAGUCGUGACACAACAAGAUGGAGGUGCCAUUGCUGUACGGCAUCUAUGCCAUGGGCCAUAGUGCCCCGUUCAAGAAGGCCAAGGCAUUCUCAGAGGAUGACCUCGAUCAUCUAGAGAGCUUCACCAACAUCUCCUCCCACAACAAGCUCGUGAGGUACAGAGACUUUGGGAAGGCGUUGAAAGGGGAGGACUUCAACCCAAGCCAGAGUCCUUUUGAUCCUGAGCUCGUGAUGCUAUAUGGUGAUGGGGGGAAACAUGGCUCGGUAGCCAUUGGGGAUGGGCUGAUACGUUGUCCUAGAAGUCUCCCGGAGAUCUAGAAGUGCCAGAUGAGGUCUCUUCCUAAGAUGAGACCUCUACCAUGGACAAUUGGAGCUCGUCGUCGAGGCUAGGGCCCAGGAGCUUGUGGCGGAGGCAACCAGGCAGGCGGCACAGAGGGAGAGGGAGUUGGAGGAGAGGACGACUAGUAUGUUGGAGGCGGAGAGGAACCGGAACGACACGGGUCACCGGGCCCUAUACGAGCUCCUCGUGGUAAGCUUCUCCCCCAUAUUAGCCAAAUCAUGCACGUAAUGUAUGUUUCAUUACUAACUAAUAUGACUGACUUGUGAAAACAAAAUGUGCAGUCCGUGUGCGAGAAAACCGGCAAUACCCCUCCACCGAUGCCCCAGAUUGCUAUAGCGGACACGGUGAGUUUCAUUUGAAUGGUCAUUACUUACUAGUAUUCACAUUUCAGUUGCAUCAUUCUAACUAAACACUGCAAAUGAUCUUUGGUGCAGCACGCCUCCCGACAAGCAUCGACUGAUCCUUCUCCAUCUCGCGAUGGCGCAACCCCGACCGGUCCUUCUUCGUCUAGCACUGGCGCAAACCCGACCGAUCCUUCACCUCCGUGAUGAUGAUAAGUUUUCCCAAGUGUUUUGUUUAACAAAUGCAUACUUAGCUUAAGAAAUGACCUAGUUAGCUCCAAAAUGACCUAUACUUAGCUUAUUUUCCUUGAAAAUGACAGAAUAACCUUACUUAGCUCCGAAAUGACAUAUUCUACCUAGGAUAGCUAUAAAAUGAGAUAUACUUAGCAUUUUUUCCUCCAAAAUGACUUGAUAUGCUUGGUUAGCUUGAAAAUGGCAUAAUUACCUAGGAUAGCUCAAUAAUGAUCUAUAGCUAGCUUCGCUAGUUCAUUUAUGACAUAAUUAGCUCACUUAGGUAAAAAAAUGGCAUAACUACCUAGGAUAGCUCAAUAAUGAUCUAUAAUUAGGUUAGCUACUUCAUUCAUGACAUAAUUAGGUCACUUAGUUAAAAAAUUGGCAUAAUAACCUUCGUUUAGCUCCAAAAUGACCUAUAUUUAGUUUAUUUUCCUCGAAAAUGACAUAAUAACCUUACCUAGCUCUGAACUGACAUACUUUACCUAGGAUAGCUAUAAAAUGAUCUAUACUUAGCCUUCUUUCCUCAUAAAUGACUUAAUAUGCUUACUUGGCUGAAAAAUGUCAUUACUACCUAGGAUAGCUAAAUAAUGAUCUAACUUAGCUUACCUAGUUUAUUUAUGACCUAAUUAGCUUACUUAGGUAAAAACUGGCAUAAUAACCAUGGUUUAGCUCCAAAUUAUCAUAUAAUUAGUUUAUUUUCCUCCAAAAUGAACAAAAUAACCUUACCUAGCUCCAAAAUGACCGAUUUUAACUAGGAUAGCUCUAAAAUGACCUACACUUACCAUUUUGUCCACCAAAAUGAAUAAAUAUGCUUAGUUAGCUCAAAAAUGGCAUAACUACCUAGGUUAGCUCUAAAAUGGCCUAUUUACCUAGCUUAACUCUAAAAUGACCUACACACUUAGCAUUUUUACCUACCUUAGCUAAAAAACUGCAUUUUCCCCUACCUUAGCUAAAAAAUUGCAUUUUUCCCUACCUUAUUUAGAAGAAGAAUAAGAUAAAGAAGAGGAGAGGAUAAAAAGAAAGAGAAGAUAAAUUCUUCUUCUUCUUUUUCUUCUUAUUUUCCUUCUUUUUCUUCUAGCUAGUCUUUUUAUUCUUCUAACUUUCAUCUUUCCUAAUUUGCAGAUUUGCUUGAGAGAGGAAGCUUGCAUUGAUGGAGUGUACUCUUCUACUUGUGCUUCCUUUUUCUUUGUGGAAACUUGUUGGAUUUGUACGUAUGAAAAUGUUGUUGGAAACUUGUAUAUGUACAUGUUGUUGGAAACUUGUAUAUGUUGUUGGAAACUUAUUGUUGGUAUGCUUGUUGAAAUUAUUUUGGAGCUAGGUAAGGUUAUUUUGUUGGUAUGUUGUAGCCUAUUCAGCCGGACAUGUUGUUGUCUGCUGGCUGACGGCAACGCCCUUUGCCAUCUGCCUUGCAUGCCUUUGCCAUGGCUGACGGCAAAGUGCCUGAUUCCAGUAGUGAAGGGCUAUGUCUUCCACUUUGACCGGAGGAUCGUCUUCCGCAUAGGUGGUUCAUGGCCGAGAAGAAGCGGCAUCCAGUGGACCCUGCUGGCGCCAAGAACCGCGUCACUGCCCUCCCCAACAACGUCCUAGCGCAUCAUCGUCACUAAAAGUUGUCCAUUUUGUAGUCUAUAUAAGUUCAAAAGUACAUAACAACUAUUAUUCUCAAACUGAUAUCCAUUUUAGUUGCAUUGUAGAAAAAAACAUGUCUCUCGCAAGCAGUUGGAAGUACGAUACUCCAGAAGAGCUGACAUAAUCUGGAAAAAUUCCGAGAGUGUUGUUUGUUCUAAACACACCACAGUCGAAUACAAGGUUAACUAAUUGCUUACUUCUUAAUGUUUGCUUGCAUUUGAUUUCAAACUAUAGAUUGAUAAAUAUCUUAAGUUGAUUGUCAUGCCAAUUUUUUUCUAUCCAGAGUUACAUUUUAGUUGCACUACACAAAAGAAAAUGACAAGUGACGCUACAAAUUUACCUAUUCAUGUAAGCGCUGGCGGAUUUUAUUAGUACUUUCUCCACUUGUCAUUGGAUUGAAAGUUUGGCAUAGAUUGGUGAGAUAAUUAUUCUCGUCAUCUCCGUCCUAUUGAUCACUCUUUAGUUUGCUAAGAGGCGCAACAGAUAGACUACUCGAGAAGAUGAGUUGUUUGGGAAUAUUUAGAUGUAUAUCUAUGUCCUUUGUCUCGUUUGUUAAGUGGUUCAAUGAAUUGACUACUCUUUCUAAUGUCGUAGAAGUAUCUAUGUUCCACAUAUAUGUUGGCCCUGAAGUGUGUAAAUAUACUUGUGUAUUGUUCUGUAAAAAGGCAAUUAUGCAAAUCAAUAAUGUAUGCCUGCGUAUUCCGUUGGUGUGUUCUGUCAAUUACAUUUGGGUGCUUUGCCGGCGCCAACAUAAAUAAAUCCAAACAAUAGAAGGGAGCAAAUUCAUCCAGAGAUAAACUACUAUCACUGAGUACUGACCGGCUGGCAGUCUGUGAUGUAGGUAUAUCAACACUGACCCCGGGGCACUAACGGGUCACAUGCGCGUCAGUGAUGACACAGUAUGACCGGUCAGUACUGUAGGGAUCUGUUGUAGUGUUAAGCCUCUUGGUGUAUCCACAUACUAAAAAGUUGUUAUUCGUGUUGUGCUGUCGAGGCAUCGUUCUUUUCCUUGUAUCGUCCGAAUAUAUUUUUGUCCGCGUCCGGUCCUCUGCCAUCACUCUGUUAUCGUACCAUGUAUGUUUCUGCCUCCGUGCUGCAUCUAUACCGCUUCCAAUUCAGAAAAAUAUAUGAAAUAUUAUACAGUAUGACAGUGACAAUCCGUUUUUCUCAAGGAACCUCUACAAUUCAUGGCAGUGACUCUGUACAACGGCAACAAACCUAUGGCUGAAAUGUGUGUCGAAUAGCAGCAAUAGAUGAAGCAUCUACGGAAAUAUCGUCAAAGAGGAAGUCAUGAUCAUUCCUAGUUGGCAUGUCAUUAUUGUCGAACAACGUUCACUGGUAUUGAUAGAGGUCGAUCAAAGGGAGUCAACACAUGCUGCGUCAUUAGGGAUGUCUACUACUACUAGCUACUCAUAGCACCAAUGUGAUAUCCCUCUGAUACGAAAGAUCGGUGCCACCCGUGCUAUCUCAAACGCGAGGUUUCUCGUCACAUAGGGAUUUUCUAGUUACUAUGAUAAGAGUAGCGUGUACGCACGCCCAAGCCUCUGCUAUAUAUAAGUACACCAUGUGGACGCAGCUAAUUAUAAUUAGAUAAAGAAUUGACUAGAUUGCGCCCAUGCAACAUCCAACUCCUAUCAGCAUUAUUCCAUAAAUGGAAAAGCUGAAUGAAGCACGAGCUUUAGCCUUUUGUAAAUCAUAUAUCCCAAAUUCUACGGUGUCGUGACGGAUUGAUUGGUUGGUGAAAGAACACAAUUUAGGGUUUAGAGCGAAAAAGAGAGCGGGAGGGAGGGAAGCGGGAAAAUUGCGUACUAUGGUUAUCGUCAUGUGAUAGAGAGCUAUACGCAUGUCAUGCUUCAUUCGUCAGAAAUUUUGAGGAAGGGANNNNNNNNNNNNNNNNNNNNNNNNNNNNNNNNNNNNNNNNNNNNNNNNNNNNNNNNNNNNNNNNNNNNNNNNNNNNNNNNNNNNNNNNNNNNNNNNNNNNNNNNNNNNNNNNNNNNNNNNNNNNNNNNNNNNNNNNNNNNNNNNNNNNNNNNNNNNNNNNNNNNNNNNNNNNNNNNNNNNNNNNNNNNNNUCUAUCAUGGUUGUGUUGGUGUUAUGCCAUGCUUGAUUCUCUCCUUCCGGGGGAGAGGGAGAGAGGACGACAUGGGGGGGGGGGGUGCGAGGAAAUUACAAAUGUCAUGCUUGAUUCGGUACAAAUUAAAUCAAGCCCGAUUCACCCAUCCAUUAUUGUCUUUCGAUCAGUAAACACAGGCAACAUUCUAGCUAGUGUAGUGUUUCUUAAGAAUCUCAGUAAUUCCCCCUCGACCUAGUCAUAAACUACACUAUGAAUCGUUGUUUAUAAGAGAAUAAAUUUGCUGUCUUGAGAGUUUUUACGGUACAUCAUACUACUUCUGGGACCGAGUAGUAUUGAAUCAUCACAACUGUCGACUAGCUGGGUAUUAUUUUUAGAUCGUAAUUUGUAAACCCUUUGUAAAAUCCCUCGCCAUGACCAUCCUUGUCAGGCUUAGUGGUUGCCGUCGCCAGUCAUCGACAGCUCAUGUCCAACAACCAUCUGUGGCUCUAACGGCGUGACGAAGGAGCAGUCGUGGUUCAAGACCCCGGGCUCCGUCGUCAUUGCAAUUUCUUUCGAGGCUCCCAGUGCCCUCGGCGUGCGCCUCUGCCCGCGCUGUGUCCAGAGGCCACGCGAGUGCCAUGGCUGCUUUGACAUCGGCACAAUGGACCUUCCCAACCGUGUCACAUGUUGACGGCAACGGCACCGCAGUACCGCGUUCCAUAUUCGCCUGGUUUGCAAUGUCGCUCACGCUUCCCGUCGUCGUCGUCCAUAUGUGAGCGUACCUCCUUGCUGGGGUACGCCGUACGUCGUACGUGCCUCCUGCCGAGGCAAGUACAUCGUGAGAUGGUAGUUCUCAGAUUAGAUAUGUGAGCGACGAGCUGCUGCUUGCGGCUCAACAUCACCCGGAUGCGCGUCGCUAGUGGAAACAAGGUUGACGUGUUCCGGCGAGAUUCAAGCGGCGUUCUGUGCCUACGUUGCUUAUGUGCAGCGGUUGCAGCCGCCGGCUUGCGUACACGCGUCAUCGCCACAAAACAAUCGGCUUAUCAUGGACAUGAUCAAUCAAUCUAGCUAGGAGGCUAGCUUUGUACAUGGUGAUUUCCUUGGCCAAAAGAACCGGCCGGCAAAGAUCAAUCGACUACCUACAAUCUUCUUCGUUGUAUCUCAUCUCCGUCAAAAAAUACUCGGACGGAUUCGGCCCAGUCUCCAAUGGUCCGAUCAGAGCAGGAGAAGAAAACACACAGGCUUCUGAAUGCAUAUAGAGUUUGGAUAUUUGUUCUGUGUGUCUUCCAUUUUACCCUUUGAACAAAAUAUACUACUGAUUCUGUCUAGUACUAGUAAUGUUGGAUCAAGUCCAUUGAAUGACUUAAAAUGGACGGCUCAUAUUACUUGGAUGUACUGUAAAAGGAUUGUUGAUUUCCCCNNNNNNNNNNNNNNNNNNNNNNNNNNNNNNNNNNNNNNNNNNNNNNNNNNNNNNNNNNNNNNNNNNNNNNNNNNNNNNNNNNNNNNNNNNNNNNNNNNNNNNNNNNNNNNNNNNNNNNNNNNNNNNNNNNNNNNNNNNNNNNNNNNNNNNNNNNNNNNNNNNNNNNNNNNNNNNNNNNNNNNNNNNNNNNNNNNNNNNNNNNNNNNNNNNNNNNNNNNNNNNNNNNNNNNNNNNNNNNNNNNNNNNNNNNNNNNNNNNNNNNNNNNNNNNAGCCCGAUUUCAGUCCUGGUGGCAAAAUAGUGUUCAUAAGCGAAUAAGGUCCGGGCAUACCAACAUUCGUCAUAGUUCUACACAUAAACAUGCAGUAUCGAACCUCUUUUUGUUUGAGAGAAGAAACAAGAGAGAGAGAGAUAGAAUAUCUUCCACUGAUUUGAGUAUACGGAGACCCGUAGAGCGAUAAUUCUAAAGGCACGGAAAACUACAGACAUUUUACGGGCAUAUCCACACUAACUACUUCUCCCCCCUAUACUUGGCCAUCUGUCGGGCCGAGCCGGGCUUUGGGCCGGGCCUACCAAAGCCUGACGCAAAAAACCCAGACCCGAGCCCGGCCCAUCACGCGAAAAGCCCGCCGGGCCUCGGGCCUCUUUGUUAACACGUGAAUACGACGGUAUUGAAAUCUAGACCUGAGCCCGGCCCGUGGACAAGGUCAGGCCUGGCCGGGUCCGGUCGUGCUGACCGGGCCGGGCUGCCUAUGGCCAGGUCUACUCCCCCACCCCACCCCCAUUUUCACCGGGGCGAGGCCCGCCUCAGUCUCUAAUCUUUCGUAAGCUCUGUAAAAUAUGUGUGUUCUUCUGGCAUUGCUCCCCGUAGAGCACGAGCAAACGAAAAAUGUGACCUAAUCUUGCGAAUGGAGAGAGAUAGAAUGCUAGAAGAAUCUGGUUUGAAUCAUGUUGGCAUGCAGCACCUGGACAGAUUAGAAACUGGCCCGUAGAGCACGACCAGACCAAAAACCGAAUCCGGUCAUCCCGUGGCGCAGGUCAACUCUCCCUCCUUCGCUUGCAUCACAUGUCACAUGCAUAGCAGACGCAGACCCAAACAUCUAGCUCGGGGAGCCCCGACAAUGGCUUUCUUCCCCUAAUGAUCCAGCGCUCCUUCCCCAUCUCCCCACUCACUUUCCCCGUUCCCUCGACCCCAAGCCUCCCAGCCACUGACACAUAACCCAAUCCUCGUCGGCUACCCCAUGGCCCCGACGGCGCAGACGAAACGCGUCAGAUACUGUUGCGGCUUCCCGAAGAAAAGCCAUGCCUGCCACUUUGCCGACGGAUCGUCUUCCGCGCGUCUGGUGCAAGGCCGAUAAGAAUCGGGGCCGCAAGCGGCUGACCUUGCUGGUGCUAAGAAGGAGGAGGAGGACCACAUCACAACCCUCCCCAACGACGUCCUGGGCACCAUCAUCUCUGCGCUCCCCACCGAGGAGGCUGCCCGCACAAACGCCAUCUCCAAAGAGUGGAAACACCUCUGGCGCAAGUCCACCCCGCUCAACAUCGCUGACCGUGACAUCUAGAAAAGAGAGGUCUGGGGAGACAACCUAGUUGUCCUCAUCUCAGAGAUCCUCGAGGCUCCAUGCAAGGUACGCGUCCAUCGCCUUUCCCUGAGCAUGCUAUGCCAUCACUUCGGCGGCCGAGACAGGUACCCCAUCUUCGGCGGAUGGUUCCGACCCAAGGUUCAUGAUCACCUCGAGGUGUUUCAUUUCAGCUACCAACGGGUCAACAAUGCGGAACCACUUUAGGCCGGCGAGUCGAUGCUGCCCUUGCCGCCAUCCACGCUGAGCUUUUCCUUCCUCUGCGUCGCCAGCUUUGGCUACUGCCAUUUCCCUGAGGAUCCUCAUCUCGUGGGUGCCAUAACUUUUUCAGAUAUCAUCGACCUCACUCUCUUCCGGAUCACACACACUGAGGACACACUCCAUGCCAUGAUCGCCGCAUCUCCAAAUCUCAUGACCCUGUACCUCAACAGAUGCUAUCACUUCCGCUACGUCCAUAUCAACUCCCAAACUCUUGUAAGCUUCACCAUGUUGGUUGACCAAGACUGUGAUAGGAUGGAGGUACUCAUCAUCGUCAACACUCCAAGCUUACAGCAACUCGUGCUCUGUGAUGGUGGAUAUUAUGGUCCACGAAUCAUACGUGUCCUGGUUGCACCGAAACUCCACACGUUGAGUUGGAUGCACAGUGAUAUGAUGUCCACCCUACACCUUGGGAAGACAAUACUCCAGGUAACUUAAGCUCUUAAAAUCUAGUGAUCUGUUAGCAACCUCUUUGUAAUUUGUCACCCACUUUUAUUAAUAGUUUUCUUUCAUGUUUUGAUGAUCGAUCCAGGCAAUGGUUGACAGCAGUCUAGUGUCAUCGCCUCAUAAUGUAAAGAUCUUGAUGCUCAUUCUCCAUGGUCUUAGGUUAAAUCAUGUCAUUGACGUCCUCCAAUGCUUUCUCUGCUUACAACAGCUUCACAUAAAUGUGAGUUGGCUCAACUCUCUUUCAUUCUUUCUGCAAUAUUAUAUUAGCUAUUCCCUCAGUCCCAUAAUAUGAGAACGUUUUUUACACUACUGUAGUGUUAAAAACGCUCUUAUAUUAUGGGACGGAGGGAGUAGCUUUUAUGUACCAUCUAUUUAUCAACUCCGGUAUAUGUUGAGUAGUUCUACUCUAAAUUAUAUAUUCUGUUGCUUCGUUUUCAGACACUGACAGCUGCUACUACUCUUGAGUGUGUUGACGGACAUCUAAAGCUAGUAGUAGUGAGAAAUUAUUCAGGCAAGAAACCAGAUUAUAACUUUGCCACGUUCUUUCUUUUGAAUGCAAGAGUGCUAGAGUCAAUGAAGCUUCAUGUCCCUUUUAGCUGGAACAACGAAUGGCGCUCCAGACAACGUAUGAAGAUGGAUUUUAAGAACAGAGCUUCCCCAAAUGGUUUGGUUUAUUUUGAGGGCACAGAGUGAGCACAUGAACAACCGUGCGGAUGAGGUGUCAAAUUGUGUACCCCUUUGGCACCUCAGUUAUCGGGGUUUUUGUUCUCGCAGGGAACUAUUGCCUCUGUUGUCGUUCCAUGUACUAGUUUUGAAAACUAGAAACGUUACUUUUAUUUGUAAUAAGUUUAUGUUUACUCGUCAAAUUGUUGUCAUAUGAUUUUCUGUUCCGGAACAAGUGUUCCUAGUUUUCUAAAUAUAUUUGGAUCUACAUACUUGAAAGUUUAUGCAUUUCUGACAAAUUUAGUAUGCAAUGUCUUUCUUUUUUUUGCGGGAAAGUAUGCGAUGUCCACUGAUAGUUGAUAUAUUUUUUGCUGGACCGUAACUCAUGGUAGAUAUAUGAUGAUGUAACUGCUGGUCUUAUGUUGCCCCAAACCAAACAUAUUUGGUGUUNNNNNNNNNNNNNNNNNNNNNNNNNNNNNNNNNNNNNNNNNNNNNNNNNNNNNNNNNNNNNNNNNNNNNNNNNNNNNNNNNNNNNNNNNNNNNNNNNNNNNNNNNNNNNNNNNNNNNNNNNNNNNNNNNNNNNNNNNNNNNNNNNNNNNNNNNNNNNNNNNNNNNNNNNNNNNNNNNNNNNNNNNNNNNNNNNNNNNNNNNNNNNNNNNNNNNNNNNNNNNNNNNNUCACAGCUGAUACAAACAUACAUCUAUAUAUGUUGUUUACUACUGGUUUAAAUAAUGUGUAGUGGAAGAAUAUUUUCUGGUGAAACAUGUCAUGUGUUCUCACUUUAAACAUAUCACAUAAACAUACAAUCAAGGCGGCUCGUUCAGCCCCCAAGGUGGGUAUUCUUUUGUUGAACCAUAACUCAUGGUAGAUAUAUGAUCAUGUCACUGCUGGUCCUUAGAGCAACUCUAACAACAUAUCUCCUAAAAUUUAGAGGAGUAAACAGCCGAGUAUACUUUAGAGGAGCAUGCAUGUGCUCCUCUAAAAAGUGACUGUUUCUAACUGGUCAACAAUACUUAGAGGAGCAUGCAUUUGCUCCUCUAAAAAGUGACCGUUUCCAAAAAAGUGCUCGUUUAGCUCCCAAGGUCGGUAUGUUAUCCAUGUGAGUCAUUUCCGGGGCCCGCUCAGACCACUCACGGUUCAAAUAUGCGCCAUUGGGGACUCCCCGAGCAUGUGGAAUGGAAGCACAUAUAGGCAAUGUGGCCUUCAAAGAAGUGAGAAAACAACAAUGGAAAGAGAAAGCCCAAGCAUCUCAAUAUUACAUUCGAACCCAUUAAAAUUACCACUUCAUAACCAUAAGGGGAAAAGCUAUGGUAACAGAAGUGUUGCAAACGGAGAACACGUCAUAUCUUUUUUCUACAGAGGUUCCGGGCCCCAGGUGGAAGGACAACAAGCUCACUUUGAGGAAGCAUUUUCAUCUUCUUCGUGGUUCCCCACAUCGACUCCUGUUGUCGCGUGCUGGUCCCAGCACCCGCCUUGCCUGUGCUAGCAGCCUUAUGUUGACUGAAGCGGUCGCCGCCCACAUGAAUGUGCCAUGAGUAAAAGGAUGGAAUCAACACAAUGCCGUGUGAGUAGGGAUGUCUACUAGCUACUCAUAGCACGAACAUGUUACUUUACAUCCCUCUUUGAAAGAUGGAUGGAGCCUAUGCAGUGGUGUAGCAAGCGGAGGAUCUUAGCGGGGCCAAAGAGAAAUGCAUCAUUGGGGCGGGGGCAGGGGGGAUGAGUGCACUCUACUUAAUAAUAUAAGCCUUUUCAAAAAAUUCCACUAGUCUCCCCCCCAAGUACAUGUAGCUCCGCCGUUGAGCCUAUGGUGUCUCGAACGCAUGGCACGUUACCACAUAGGGUUUUCUAGAUGCUAUGAUAGAAGUUGAGUGUAGGCACAUCCAUGUGUCUAUAUGUACACCCCAUAUAUGGACGGAGUGCUUUACGUGUGUUCAAAAAGCUCUUUAGCUAAUUAUUUUUGUAAAAAAUGACUGGAUUGUGCACUUGCAACAUCCAACUCCUGUCAGCAUUCAAGCAUACAAGUGGAAAGGCUGAAGCCCACGCUUUGGCCUUUUCUAAACUACAUAUCCCAAAUUUUCCGGUGCCGUGACAUGUUGGUUGGUUGACGCAAAUAACAAGUUAGGGUUUUAGAGAGAGAGAGAGAGAGAGAGAGAGAGAGAGAGAGAGAGAGAGAGAGAGAGAGAGAGAGAGGAUGUUUUACAUUGUUGUCCUGGUGUGAUAGAUAACUAUAUAUAUUCAUGUUAUACUUGAUUGGGUAGAAAUUAAAUCAAGCCCGUUUCAUCUAUCCAUCAUUGUCGUUCUGUCAAUAUAGUUCGAGCUUGUUAAUGUUUCACAAGAAUCUCGGUCAUUCCCACCUAGCCCACUCACAACCUACAACAUCCGAUAAUUCUUCUUUUGCGGGUAAGUCAUAACUACAGUAACUAUGAAUCACUCUUCAUGAGAUAAUAAAUCCAUUUGUUGUUUCGUGAGAGAGACAAAGAUAGUGUUUUCAAUUAUGCCGACAAAAUAGCGUUCAUAAGAGAAUAUAAGGGUGUGUUUGUUUUGAGGGACAUGUUUCAGUGGUUGUGGGUAUCCCCAACCAAUUAGCCAGGUACCAUUUUCCCUGGUCUCAAUGAGUGUGAGUAGCCAGAAAUUUAUUUGGUUUGAUGGAUAAAAGGGGGGCUAGUAGUGGUGGAUAGAGGUUGUGGUGACUUUUUUGAUUAAGGUUUCGAGAUUACCCCAUAGCUUGUAAUUUUUAAACAUAGAACAAUCAAAUAUGAUAUUAACAAAAAUAAUUUUUAAAAAGCAGAGCAGAGAACAACCUGGACUAGUCCUACAAGGGAAAGAGAGUGAAAAUACUAAGACAUGACACCAUGCUUAAUUUCUAAUGUGUUGAGGACUUGAGGUACAGAGAACAGACACCAGAAAUAGCGCGUGCAGCCUCCAUCAAAGUCCUUGUAUUAACGUCUAUAUACACCUGUGUACACACACACACACACACACACACACACACACACACACACACACACACAUGUCUAUCUGCCAAGCAGCCUCCAUCCACAUGGCAUCAGCGUCCGCACGCGGCACUCACAUGUGUCUGCCGCCGUGACCUGUGUCAUCCUGAAGCUCGAGCGGUGUAGAAAAAAAGGAAGGAGAGAGUGCACGGCAAGAAGGAAGAUAUUAGGAAGGAGGGAGUUGCCACGCACUCACCUUUGUCGUCCUCUAGCUCCAGCGGGAGAUAGAUCAGACAAGCACGGUUGCACCUUUAGGUGCAGUGUCGAACAUCUUCAUUCUUUUUGAGAGAGAGAACAUCUUCUGCUGAAUUGAUUUGCAAGUUGACAAAAUAGUGUAAUGCUACUGCAGCACCAGGCCAGCCGUAGAGCACGAGUGAUGUAAGGAGUGUGGAGUGGAAACUGACCCAAAAAAACCUCGGGGAGCACGUCAACUCUUCCCAUCACACGGAGAACACACGCAGACCCGAAAAAGGCCUCGCGGAGCUUCCUCCCCCUAAUCUCCCGGUGCUCCUCCCCCCUCUCCCGGCUCAGUUUCCCCAUUCCCUCGACCCCCAGCGGCAGCCUACAGCUUCCGAGACAUUGACACAGAACCCAGACCCCGCCGGCUAACCCAUGGCCCCCAUGGCGCCGAGGAAACGCGCCAGAUACUGCUGCGGCCUCUGCGGCCUCCCAAAGAAGGGCCAUGUCUGCCACUUCGCCGGCGGUUCGUCUUCGGCGCGGCUGGUGCAGGGCCGAGAAGAAGCGCCGCCGCCCAGGGACCCUCCUGCUGCUGGCGCCAAGAAGGAGGAGGUCACCAUCAUCACCGCCCUCCCCAACGACGUCCUAGGCACCAUCAUCUCCGCGCUCCCCAUCGACGAGGCCGCCCGCACAAAUGCCAUCUCCAAAGGCUGGAAACACGUCUGGCGCGACUACACCCCGCUCAACCUCGACGACCGCGACCUCCACAAAAUGGCCUGGACCGGAGACAACCUAGUCGACCUUAUCUCAGACAUCCUCGAGGCUCCACGCGAGGUACGCGCCCGUCGUCUUUCUCUCAGCACGCUAUGCCAGCACUCCGGUGAUCGAGACCGCUACCCCAUCUUCGACCGCUGGUUCCGAUCCAAGGUUCUGGAUCACCUCGAGGAUUUUCAUUUCAGCUACCAGCGGGUGAACAACACCGAACCACUACAGGAUGGCGAGUUGAUGCCGCCGCUGCCGCCAUCCGCGCUGAGCUUUUCCUCCCUCCGCGUCGCCAGCUUUGGUUGCUGCCAUUUCCCUGAGAAUAUCUUAGCCUUGGGCGGCAUCACUUUUCCAUAUCUCAUCGAGCUCACACUCUGCCGGAUAACAAACUCCGAAAACACACUGCACGCCAUGAUAGCCGCAUCUCCAAAUCUUGUCUACUUGUACCUUCACAGAAACUAUCACUUCCGUCGCGUCCACAUCAGCUCGCAAACUAUUGUAAGGUUCCGCAUGUUUGUUGACCCAGACAGUGAUGUGAUGGAAGAACUCCUCAUCGUCAACACUCCAAGCCUAGAGGAAGUGAUGCUCUGGGACCAAGGUGAUUGUGGUCCACGAAUCAUACGUGUCCUGGUUGCCCCAAAACUUCACAUCUUGGGUUGUCUGCACAGCGACAUGAUGUCCACCGUACAGCUUGGGAAGACAGUACUCCAGGUAUAUAUGUAUCUAGGAGCCACACAGGGCAUCUGUAUAUAUCAUUCUUUUGCAAUCUUACUUAUAUACAUAUUCUUUCGUGCUUUGACGAUCCAGGCAAUGGUUGACAGCAGUCUAGUGUCAUCACUGCAUAAUGUAAAGGUCUUGAAGCUUGUUGUCCAUGGUCUUAGGUUAAAUCAUGUCAUUGACGUCCUCCAAUGCUUUCCCUGCUUACAACAGCUUCACAUAAAUGUGAGUUGGGUCGACCCUUUCUUUCUUUUUGCAAUCUUAGUUACGUUCUAUAUAUGUACUCUCUAUUUAUCCAUUCCUAUGUUGAGUAGGUCUACUCUAAAUUAUUCUCUUGCUUCGUUUUCAGACAUUGAUGAGCCAUGUUCCAAACAAGCAGAACGACAAUCCAGCUGCUACUACUGUUGAGUGUGUUGAUAGACAUUUAAAGCAAGUAGUAGUGAGAAAUUAUUCAGGCAAGAAACCAGAUUAUAACUUUGCCAAGUUUUUUGUUUUGAACGCAAGAGCGCUAGAGUCCAUGAAGCUCCAUGUCCCUUUUAGCUGGAACAACGAAUGGCGCUCUAGACAACGUAUCAAGAUGGAUUUUAAGAACAGAGCUUCUCCAAAUGCUUUGGUUUAUUUUGAGGGCACCAAGUGAGCACAUGAUCAACCGCGCAGACGAGGUGUCAAAUUGUGUACCCCCUUGGCACCUAAGUUAUGUUUUUUUUUCACAGUUAACUGUUGCCGGUUGUCGUUCCAUGUAGUUUGCAGAAACAGAAAGGUUACUUUUAUUUGUACUUAAUAACAUGAAGUUUACAUGUGAAAUUUCUAUGAUAUAUGAACCAUACCAACUACAUGUAUGUCCUUGUGGAAGUGUAUUGAGAAUAGUGCAUGUCUGCAUUGUUCCACCGAAAUGUUGUGGGUAUGAUGAAUUACCUUGACUUUAUGGGAAAAGAAUGAGUUCAUGAUUAUUCCAAUUUAUGAUUAAUAGAUAGAAG